UGAAAACUUGCAUCCAUCCUUAAGUUUUUAAGAUUGACAGUGACGUACUUUUCUCAUCCAUAUAUAAUUGAAGGUACCUCAUCUCAUGUAUAUUGUCUCCUUCCUACAACUAUUGAUACCGCGAAUGGUUGAGUUCUUGCUUCUCUUCACGACAAAAUGAGGAAAUCAACGGCGAGCAAUUGGAUCGAUUUAGCAAGCCCCGGUGUUCAUGGUGAUGAUGGAGCGGAUCUUCUGCUACUCAAGUCCGGAGUGAUCUUCGUGCUGUGCUUGAUCCUUGCGUCAGUUGUUAUAUUUUUCCUGUGGCGACUCUCAGAAUGAAAACGGCCGCCGCCACGGAGGCGGCGGUGGAGGCGGUGGAGGUGGCGGUUGUGGUGGAGGAGGUGGGGGCGGCGGUUGCGGCGGGGGCGGCGGGGGGUGUUGAAUUGACCUUAUAUUUAUAUACCUUUAAGGCAUGAGUCAAAAAAAAAAAAAAAGCAGUUUCAUGUCAAUAAAUUGCAAUACGAUAGUGUGGUCUGUGUUUCAUUUUAGGAUUGCUAUUAGGGUUAAGUAUCUUGUAAUUUACAUAUGUUGUAUUUAAGUAUAAUUGUACUCUCCCCCCAUACUUGUGUUCUUCAUUUGAUAAUUUGCGGAUAUUAUAAUCCUCUAUGUUUACAAUUCUCAACUUGAUGUCAGAGUUAUUUGUUCUUUGAGGGAAAACCCUUUUUUUUUUUUGUUGAAAGAUAGUAAUUUCAUUACUAGCCCGCUAAAGGGGCACCAUUAGUUGGCAAAUCUAAACAUAGAAUUAAAUAUAAAGAACGAGGAGGAUUAGCAAUCCAAUUGCUAGGAAGUGAUUUGGUUCAGUGGGCGUUAGUGACCCAAUCCGCCGCCUUGUUAGUGUCUUGCGGCUCAUAGAUAAUUGAAACUCCACUAACCUAGGCCAAUAUUCCCCUGCAAUCUGCGACUAUGGGCUAGGCCGGCCAAGGGGGUUCCUCUAGGCCUGAUAAGCUGUUUACUAGUGAUAAGUUAUCAGAUGAAAUGAACACCUGCAAUUCAGUUCCUCCUUUUAGCUUCUGGUUUUGUUCUGUUCAUGUGUCUCUUCUGUUCUGCACCCAAAGUGCCGCUUCUCUCAUAGCUAGGGCUUCGGCGACCCACGCGGACAGAGCAUAGAUCGACUUUGCAAAACCAUGAAGGAGGAGACCGGCGUCAUUUCUGCACACCCUAGCAACCGAUCCAACCUUGGACGAUCCGCACCAGGAGCAAUCUACAUUUAGUUUCAUCUCAUUUGCUGAAGGUGGGUUCCAUUUCAACACUGGUUGAGGAGCUACUGGUGACCCUCAGCGACUGUUCUUCCCCCUCAAGUUCCAUUUCUUAAAGAGUGUUGUUGUGAUGCUUGUCUUUUCUUGAGUUGCGGUUGGGUCAGGCUUCCGCCCUUGGAAGUCUGAUGCGUUGCUAAACUUCUAGAUCUACCACAGAGCACCAACAAACAUGGCUUUCAAGUUUGGAUCUGCUCGUGAGGUGAGAUUCUCGGAAACCCACUUAUCAAUGCAAGUGAUUCAUUCUGGAGAUGUAUCAGCUUGAAAGUUAGGGGCUGACCAUAUGUUUUUUGUCCAAUCAUAGAGGAUGAAGAGGCGCUCUGCUGAUUCCGGGGCUUGUCCACAUAUCUGACAGGUAGGAGCAGGUAGCAUUUUCUUUUUAUACAAGUUUUCCUUCAUGGGGAGUGUGUUGCUACAUAUAUUCUAUAGUAAGAAGCGAAUUUUGAGAAAAGUAUGAAGCUUCCAAAUUUCGUUCCAUAGCGACUUAGGAGUUUGGUAAGAUGAAGACGGGAUAUUUGUAGUGGGGAUUUCAGCCUUGUUAUGUAUUCUGUUGUAGCCGCUUUUCACAUUAUAGGAGCCCAAUCUAUUUGAUGUCCACACAAGCUUAUCUGGAUGGGGCGUUAGGCUAAUGGGAGUAGCUAAAAUCUCUUUAGCUAUAUCUUCCUCAAACAGGUCGUUCACUCGUUGAGUAUCCCAUUCAUUGACUCAUGAUCAAUUAAGUCAGCCACCACCCUAGGUUCAUCCCGAUUUGCGGGGCCGAUGAGCUUUCUUGAAGGUAGGCAUGUGUCUUCUCUAAUUCUUAUUUUCUGUCCAUCCCCCACUGCCCACCUAGAUUUAGGUUCAAUUGUAUUUCUCCCCAUCAAUAAACUUUGCCACCCCAGGAUGGCCGAAAACCUUUGUUAGUUGAUGUUGACACCUAAAAUUUGGUGACCUGUUUAGUCAUUUAUCGCAUUAAAAAAAAUUAGGGGUUAAUUUUAUUUCCGAAAAGAUAGUUAAUUACAUAGCAUAUAGUUUUAUGUGCAUUUAUUUUUAAUUUGCAUUUACAUUGGGCCGAUGACGGAUGGGUUCGAAUUGAUCGUUUAUAAACUUUAAUUUGAUGAGUUGAGCUAAGCCUAUGAAGAGAGCAAAUAGACCCAAGCCCGUAUUCGAUGAGUUGGGCUAAGCCCAUGAAGAGAGCAAAUCGACCCAAACCCGUAUUCUCGAUGAGAUUUUCGAAUUUAUCUUUGUGAUAUUUCAAUUCAAAAACAAAUAUUGCGUUUGGAAAAGAAAUCUUCGUGAAUAUCAAUUUAAAAAAAAUUAAAACCCUAAUAUGUGAUCUAUAAAUAAGUUAAAACGUGUAGGGUUUUAGGGGGCACGCAUAUAAUACACGGCCACAAUUCAUGAGAGGGGCUUUUCUCGAUCAAAGAAAUUCAACAAAAAAAAAAAAAAAUGGAGCAAAAGCCAUGUUCGUUUGAAAAGUAAGGGCAAAGAGAAGGUACAGCAGAACAGUCGAGGGCAGAGAGGAAGGGACGUCUAGCAGCAAGAGAGAGAGAAAAAGAAAAAAACAGAGGCUACUGUUCUUCUCCUUCGUUGGGUCCCCCGCCGGUGUCCCCUUACAGCCCGAUCCUCUCGCCGCGCACCAGCAACCAGGCUUCCGGCACCGCCGGCGUUCCAUCAGUCGCCCGAGCUUCCCCGCACCCGCGAGCUCACGCCAUCACCUCACCCGCGAGUCCCUGCGACGCCUCUGCUCCUCCCGACGACCCGACGGCUUCGCCCACUCGCUCGUCGCUGCUUCUGUUCUGAGCCCCCCGAGCGACGCCGCACGCAGCACUCGCGACUCGGGUCACUCCUUCUCACCGCUCCCCCUACGACGUUGCUGCUACCGCCGGAUCUGUCUCGCCUGCAACCGACACCAGCCUCCACCUUCGAUGGACGCAACAGCAGCCCCCUGCUCCGUCGCGCCUCAGUCUCUGCUUCGCCCGCGAAGCCGCUACUGUUGCCGAUCCGCUCCACCAGCCCGACGAAGCCGCCGCUGUCCCGAUCUGCGACGACCCCCUGCAGCCGUCUAGGCCUCGCCUUAGCUUGCUGUCGCCACCUCUGCCCAAGCGCCAACGACGCCAGCAGCCGAGCUCCUCGCUGCCACCAGUAGCUCGCUUCUGCUCCGGCGUCCAGCAGCUCUCGCCGAUCACUGCUGAUCCGCCUGCGACCCUGCUGCCGAGCCCCCUUGCUGCCAACGCUACCGGUCCGCCCUCGCCGGAGCUCCGACGCCCGCCGCCGCCCCUCACUGGAACGCUGGCGACCAACCCCUUGGCGACCUGACCGGCGUUGCCCCCUUAGUUGAUUGGGCUACCAAGCCCCAUUUGGAACAAGAAAAGAAAAAAAGAAAAGCGAAUUAGGUAGAUUUUCUUUCUAUUUACUAUAUUUUAUAUUUUAUUUUAUUUAGUAGAAUUAUUCAUUGAUUGAGAUUCCGACAUGAAAUAGCCUCUCGAAUUGAGAAUUGUCAGUCCGAUUUUCACGUCCGAAAUCUGAUUCGCAAUCGCUUGUAAAAUCGUCAACCCAAUCUCACGUCCGAAAUUCGAUUCACGAUUUAAUUUUAAAAAUUGGUCAACCUAAUCUCAUGCGCGAGAUAUGAUUCACCAAUUUGUGGAUAUUGAUAAUAUCUUAUCUGAUUUGCCGUCAUGUAGGUUGAAUCAAUUUUAUUUUUGUAAAAAGAAAAAUCCAAAAAAAUAUUUGAAUUGGGAUUAUGUCAGUUUUAGAAUAUUUCUUGUUAUCUUGCAUAUUUAGAAUAGAGAUUUUAUUUCGAAUUUGUUAAAAAAUAAAAAAAUAAAAAAAUGCAUUCAUUUAAGAUGUUAGUUUUAAAUUUGAAUUGCACGUUUAAAUAUUUGGCAAUUUUUAAUUUCGAAUUUCAUAAAAGAAAAUUUUAAAAAAAUAGAAUUAUGGCAUUCUUUAAGCGUCAUUGCAUAUUAUGAUAGAUUGCAUGCUUAUUAAGAAAAUAAAAAUCAUGUGCCCGUCGUAUAGAAUUAGGUUCAUGAAAUGAUUGUUGCUAGGUUCAUUUAAUUAGAAAUUGCCCGUCAUUAAGAUUAGGUCAUUUUAGUUGAUUUAGAUUGCAUAUUUAAUUAUUGCCCAUUCAUUAAGAAAACACAAAAAAAAAAAAUUAUCUUACUCAUUCAUAUAGUUUAGGCUAUACUAUUAUGUCAUAUCAUUUCAUGUUAGAUUAGUAGCAUGCAUUGCAUAAAAGCAUGAUUCUCAUUAAAUAAAUGAAAACAAAAAAUUGAGUGGUUGCGUGUUAAUUAGAACUUAUAUUUAGGAUUGUUGAUGUAAAUUAUGAUCUAACACUGCAGAUGCUUUUGUUGCUAUAAAGUAAGUUCUACAUCCUUUUAUUUGCUUUAUUUGGGUGUUAAAUUAGUGGUUUCCGCACCCGUAUGAUCACUUUACAUGUUAAGAAGAUAAAUUAAAAUUAAUUCAAGCUACCUGCAAAACAUUUUUUCAAAAUAAAAAGAGAAAGAUACCGAAAGGGCAUUAGAAAAGUUUAGUGUAACCAAGUCCCCGUACCCAAGAAGUAAAAUAAUUCUUCAAUUAUUUUACUUAGGUGUCUAAUCGACCUACCGUAAACUGAUUAAUGGUGACUCCCUUUUACAUGCUAAAUAUUUAAACUUAAGUCGCAAAUUGAUAUAGGCUUGGGAGAGCAUCAGCUAAGUCUAGGCUUAGCAAUCAAUUAGCUUAAUUUUAAGUGGUACACCCGAAUUUUAGGUCGCGACAGUUGACGAAAAAUCACCUCUAGGAAAAUAAAUGCUUUUUAGAACUUUACACCAUACAUCCGGUGUUUGGACAAAUCUCCAAGCUUGCUUCCUCAGCAUUGCUUGAUUAAAAUCCACUAAAUCUUUAAAACCUAGGCCACCACAAUCUUUUCUAGUUUUCAGAUCUUCCCACUUUUUCCAAUGUAUACAUCUUCUAGUUGCAUUAUGUUUCCACCAAAAAGAGGCUACUUGCUGCUCGAUAGUGCAGUGCAGCAAAUAGAUGUUGGGAUUUUGAAAAUGGACAUAGCAUAUUGGGGUAGGGCUUGAAUAACUGUCUUGAUGAGAACUUCCUUUAUUGCCUUUGAAAUCAACCUCUCUUUCCAUCCUUCAAGUUUCAUUUCAACUUUAGCAAGGAUCCACGCAAACAUUUGCUUUUUGAUUUGACCCCAAUCAGAUGAAAUUCCCAGAUAUUUUCCUGUUUUAUCUAUGAUUGGAACUCUCAACUCAGCAGCUAAAUUCUGUUUAAGGCUCUAUGGGCAAUCUCUCCCAGUGAAAAGCCCUGAUUUAUUGAGAUUUAUAACUUGUCCCGACACCUAACAAUAUUGAUUUAGUACAUUAGCUACAUUCUGAGCUUCUCUUAUUGUUCCAUUUAAGAAGAAAAUUGCAUCAUCAGCAAAAAAAAGAUGUGAGAGAGUUGGGCAUGUGGGAUUUAGGUUAAUACCCAUAAUACUUCCAUCUGUUACUACUUUACCCAUAAGGGUUGAUAGGACAUUGGCCAUAAUAAUGAAUAAAUAAGGGGAGAGAGAAUCACCUUGCCGAAUUCCUCGAGUUGGUCGAAAGACAGCUGAGGGAUCUCCAUUUACUAAGAUGCUGAACGACACCGAUGAGAUGCAAUGCUUUAUCCAUGUGACCCAUUUCUCAUUGAAUCCCAAUCUUAGCAUAUAGUCACAUAAAAAUCCCAUUCGACCCUAUUAUAAGCCUUCUGCAUAUCUAGUUUUGAAAUGGCUUGAAAAUUACGCAUUCUCCUUCUCAACCUGAGUUGAUGAAUCACCUCCUGGACUAUGAAAAUGUUGUCCUGAAUCUAGCGGUCUCUUAAAAAGGCACUUUGCUCCACAUAAACAAUUUUUGGAAGCCAUGGUUUCAGUCUAUUAACCAACACCUUUACUAUAAUUUUAUAAUUAAAGUUGCAAAGGCUUAUAGGUCUAAAUUGGGUGAUAUCUUCUGGAUUUGUUACUUUAGGAAUGAGAGUGAUAUGCGUUCUAUUAAGCUUUGGGUCAAGUGUAACUUGACUGAAAAAAGGAUCGAACCAUGCUGAAUAUGUCUUUGUGUAUAAUAGGCCAUUGACUUUUAUAAAAUACUAUGUUUAACCCAUCUGGUCCUAGUGCUUUUGUAGCCCCUAACUAAAAAUCAGUAUCUUUAACUUCCUCUUUUGUGACUGGUUUGAUCAGGUCGGCAUUCAUCUCCUCAUUUACCACCACUGGACAUUGAUCUAAUACUGGUUGGUAGUUCCUUUCUCCCACCAAACUAAAUAGGAAUUGAUAGAAGCUACGGAUAUGUUGUUUAAGGGUUGAGGGGUCCCUACACCAAGUCUUGUCAUCGAGCCAUAGCAUGGAUAUUUGGUUUCAUUGUCACGUUUAAACUGUUGUAGCAUGAAAGUACUUUGUGUUUUGAUCUCCCUAUUUUAACCAUUGAAUUCUCGACCUCAUACACCAGUACAUCUCUUCUUGUUGCCAUAACUCUUCAAUUUUCCUUACAAUAUUGCUGACUUCCUCUCUGUUUUGCUCCCCAUAAGUUUUUUUUUUUUUUGGUAAUCCAGGGAACCCCGUAAGCCGAUAGCCAGCGAGCAAAUCAUGGGGGAGCGACUGCAAGACCCACCACCACAGUACUCUAGGUAAAAAUCCCUAACGACACCUUUGGGAUUCGAACUCCUCCCCUUCGUGAGGGGGAAAGAGCCCAAGCCAGCUGCACCGCUGCGGGCGGUGGUUCCCCAUUAGUUCUAUUAGUCAAUUCUUGGAGCUUAAAUUUGAGUGGAGUGAUCUAUUUUUGACCAUUUUUAAAUUUUCUCCUGCUCCAUUUACUUAAUUCAGCAGCUACCAGCCUUAUUUUACUUGCCAAAGUAAGUUCAUUUGUUCUAUUUUCAUUCCAAACUUGCUUGAUCACUUUCUCACACUCUGGAUGUUCUAGCCAAUAGGUUUCAAACCUGAAUAGUUUCUUUCUUCUCUUCUAUAUUGGAUUUAAAGAUAGUAGAAUUGGGCUAUGGUCUGAGCCUAUCGUCGGAAGGGCAAAAGCCUCCACAUUUGGACAAAGGACUCUCCACUCCAUAUUACAAAUUGCCAUGUCCAAUCUCUUCUUUACUAAUGGAUUGCCUUCCCUAUUGUUUGACCAGGUGAAGGCGCAGCACUUACUCUCGAUGUCCAUCAAUGAGCAAGCAUCUAAAAAGUCCCGAAAAGCUGCGAUUCUAUAACAGUCCGCUUCUUGCCUCCCAAUCUUCUCCCAGUGGUAGAGCACCUCAUUAAAGUCUUCUAUGCAUAACCAUGGAAAUGGGUUAUUAUAAUUGCUGUCUUUCAAAGAUCGCCAUAGCCUUACUCUAUCUUGAAAGUUGGUUGAUGCAUGUAGAAAAGAUAUCCGCAUUAAGUAGCCACUACUUAAGUCUUGACAUUGGAUGUUAAUGACCUCUCUGGAGCUUCCUUCCACUUCCACCUUAACCUCCUCAUCCCACAAUAAUGCUAGGCCUCAUGCUAUACCAACCGGCUUGAUGACAAAAGAGUAUUUGAGCUAAAUCCUUUUCCUCACUCUCUCUACAACAUUAGUCUUGUUCUUGGUUUCCAUGAGGAAAACCAGAUUGGGCCUUUCCUGAGCCACUAAGGCUCUGAAGUGCUAAACUAUCAAGGGUGUGCCUAGCCCCUAACAGUUCCAGCUUAAUAAUUUCAUCUAUUCUUUGGUGGCUUAUUAGGGCCAGCCACCAAAACCCAUGCAUUAGCCCCUUCCCAUGACUGAAUUAGGGCAUCCAGGAGUUGGUCUUCAUCCACUAAGAGAUCCUGUGAGGUUUUCUUCUCAUAAAGACUGAUGCGCUUUUGUUUUUUAACCACAGGAGAUUUAUAUAUUGCCUUUCCUUUCUUGGACUUCAUUUGAUGCAUAUCAUUCCCUGCAAGAGAGGGUAAUAAGAUUUGAUUUUGAUGUGGUAUUUUACUACUGCUUGUUGGUGCUUGAUCUAUCUUAUGGGUCUCAUCCCUAAUCUCCUUCGCAAUAGGAUGUGCAAUAACAAUUGCUAAUUCAUUUGUUUCAGCUUGCUAUGUUCUCAGGGGUUCGUCGGUAGCCAUUAUGGGAGUUUCCAUCACAACCUCUUCCUCCAUAGCAGUGAGUUCAAUUUAUCCAUAAAAGGUCUUCCAGUAAGAGCUAACUUCUCGGACUUCCGCCUUCAACCACGAACCAUAUCAACCCGGUUGAUCCUAAGCUAGGUUGGUUUCCUCAUAAGGUAUUUUCGAACAGGAAUUUGCAUAAUGUCCAAUUCAACCACAAGAAAAGCAAAAAUGUGGGAGCCUUUCGUACUUAAAAUCUAUCCACCAUUUUUCCCCCACAUUGAUUAUAGUGCCUGUUUUGAGUGGGUUUGAUAGGUUCAACAGCACCCUUGCCUUUCUACAUUUGCGGGAGUUGUUAUUUCUCGCCUCCAUUUUGAUCUCCUCAACUUUUCCCAAUUUAGAGGCUAAACGACGUAUGGAGUCUUGAGUUACUCUAGCACAAGGGAGGCCUAUAAUAUGCACCCAAAAUGCAUAAUGCGAGAACUCAUAACAAUGUUCAAGUAUAUUUGGGUCUCCCUCCUUUAGGACUAGUAGAUUACUUGUGAAAGACUACGGCCCCAAUUCUAAAACCCUUUUUUUUUUCUUCAAUUGAGUUGAAUAAAAAGGAGAAAAAACCUGGUUCAAUCAGCUCACAUUUUACUGAUUCUGUUUUCCAUACUCUUCUCAUGGUAGUAAAGAAAGCCUAGAAAUUAACGUUAGGUUUAGAAAAUAGCUUGCCAUAGAGAGUUAACUCACUUUCUUGCCUUUCUUCCUCUGGAAUGUCAGCCCCUAGAUCUGUAAUAUCCUCUUUGGACCACAAAUCUCCCAUUAUUCGACAUAAGGCUACCAUUCGGAGAUGGUUGUCCUCCCCCCUGCCAUUUCUUGCCAGGUGUUCUGGGUUUAGUCAAGGUUAUAGGGUUGUAGUUAUGGAAUGAGGAAAAACCCAUUGAGUUUGUUCAUAGCCAGCCACACCGGCCACUGUUCUCCAUCAAGUCCUCACCUUUCAGUUGCAGUUCAACAUCAUUCCAUUGCUCAAUCCAAAAAAUGGAGACCACCAACAGGCUCGUAGUCCUCAAACGGCCCAAAUUCCUAAAAACUCGCCGCAAUUGCACGCCAAAUGCCACCACAUGUCAUAUUAAAGUGGUGUCUUGUCAAGUCUAGCUCAAUGGGUUGUUGAUGUUAUUAUCCGAUUAUGUUAACCAAAAACUUACGGGGCACGUGUGUUGAGUUGAUUGGUUAAUUAAAACAUAUUUAUCACUUGUUUCCACCCUCGGCCUCAUUUGGUGUAUCUGACUUACCAAGAUUAAAAUGGAUUCCAAGUAUCCUUCCCUUUUGUUCUUGGCGUUAAUUGGAGAGGCUAAGAGGGAGCUAAGAAGCCUUAUAUUUUUGGCUGUUACAUCUAGUGGUCAUAGCUUGGCCGCUGGAUAUUGAUGUAACUUCACCAUCAUGUCAGCAUCUAUCCUACUCCGAGGUUUACACCAAGCAAGAAAGUUAUACUGAUGUUAGCUGUAGACCGUUCAAUUGGCUAGCACAAUCUACCCCGUUUAAUAGUAAUUUAGGAUGUGAAUCAUAACAUUUCUAUUUCAGGGAAUAAUUUCUUUUCAAAAAUAGUUCUUUUUUAUUUCUACUGCUUGAAACAAUUUCUAAGUAAAAUAACGUAUUUGGUAACUAUACAAAAUUUAUAUUCUCAGAAUAGAAAAAUAAUAGGAAUGUGUUGGGUAUAAUCCAUAAAUUUUUAUAUUUUUUUCGUUUUUCUUCCAUAAAUUUUUGUAUUUAUUCGUUUUUAUUCUUGCUCAUCAAUUGCCAAAUGUUGAUCUCUAAUCGCCAACCACCGCCCUCUACCCUCUGACCACCUCUAGCGGCCGGUGGGUUGCGGGUGGCGAUCGUACAACAGUGGGCAGAGGGCGACAAGCGGCAAGCGGCGGCAAUGAACAGUGGUUGGUGGCGGCAGCAGCCAUCAGUAGUCGGUGAUCGAUGAGCGUUGACGGUUGGGCGGUGGUGGCAGUCGAGUGGCAAUGGCUAGCUACUAACAGCAAAGGCCAGUAUUUGGCGGGCAUCGGUGGUCAAGCGACGAGCGUCGACGGCAGCAGGCAGUGAGUGGCGACAGUCGAUUGGCAACGACGGCGGCCGAACAUGGUCAGCAGUGGCUGCAGGCGGCGUCGAAUCCAAGGACAGUAGCCACAGCAAGGAAGAAGAACAAAAGAAAAAUAGAAAAGAAAAAAAUGGCUUAUUUCUAGAGAUUAUUUUCGGAAAUAAUAAUUUACAUUUUUUCAUUUUUUGUUUUUAUUCCAAAUUUAUUUUUAGGCCAUUUUUCUAUUCCGGGAAAAAGAAAAAUUAAUUUAUGUUGUCAAAUAGAUUUCUGUUCUUUUUUCUAUUCCGGAGAGUAAAAUCAAGGAACAAUCUAUUUUUUUUCUACUCGGGGAGUAAAAGAACAGAAAAAUCAAUGAACUGAAGCAUUCCCAUGCAGCCCCUUAAGCAACAACAACCCUGGCACUUGAUUUCUAGUGAAUGGUAGUUGUCCCACAGGAUUUUUUGAGUUAAUCUCGAAUUGUCGAUUUCCCUCCCUAGUUUUCAAGCAUCACUUCUUUGCUUCCAAGUUGAUCUUCUUUCUGUUCUAUAUUGUCCUCGAGAUGAUCAGUUGGUCAACUUGGGUUCUAAACCCAAUAUCGCGCCCCCAGUGCGGGGUCCUCCGACCCAUCCUCUUUCUCUGGACCUUGGUCUGCAAUGCGGAUCUCAACUUUCCUACUAGCUAAUUCAUGUUGCCGUCGCUGUUGGCCGACGCCGCCGCGGUUGGCCGUUGUCACCGCCACCGCGGCCGGCCGUUGCCCGCUAACCAAGACACUUGAAAAAGAACAAGUAAUUAUAGUUCAGUAAGUAGUACGUAUCGGCCAGCCGUCGCCGCCACCGCCGCCACGGCCGGCCAGCGGUCGGCAAUUCUUGAGCAAUAAUAAAAAAUGAAUAAAUACAAAAAAGAAACUAUUGCGUUACCAAAUGCAUUUCUAUUCUUUUUCUAUUCCAAGAGUAGAAAUUUUGUGUAGUUACCAAACGGAUUUUUUUACUCAGAAAUUGUUCCCUGGAAUAGAAAUAGAAAAUAACUAUUUCUAAAAAAAAAAACCUCUUCUCUAGCCAAGAAGUGUUGUCAUGCGCAGCCCUAGCUACUGACCUUAGAGUUCCAAUUCCGCUAAAUCCCUAGGUCUCCCUUCGCGCUAGCUCACUCCUAACGCCAUUAGAUAUAUCACAGGUUCUCUUCUAAUUGUCGGCCGGGCUGGAAAGGUUUAUUUCCUGGAUGCUUCCUUGAAUCUUUCCAGGCCAAUGCAGGUGGCCGAGGAGAAGGGUUGGUCGCAUUUAUCUCCCCAGCACCCCAACGCUUCCCCUUUUUUAUUUAUAUUUUUAAAUGAUUAUCCUUUCUCCAACAAGGAUUGGAAUAAAAAAAUACUUGUACUUGGACUCACCUAACGAGACAGUGGAGGCUCCCAACAAGGUGAGCCGCUCUCCACAAAAACCAUUUAAGAAUGUGUUCGAUAAUAAUUCUGUUUUUAGAAAUAAUUUUUGCUUAAAAAUAGUUUUUUCUGAUUCUGUUUUUUGAAUGAGUUUCUAACCAUUUGAAGGCAUGUGGUAAUUGUCCAAAAUUUCUAUUUCUGAAAUAAAAAUGUGUUUGGUAUGAAUCUUAAAUUUUUUUUGUGACUUAAAAUUUCUUUUAAUUUUUUAAGUAAUUUUAUUACAUUUUUCUUUUUUCCUUUUCUUUCUCUUCUUCUUCCUCUUACCAGUCGCCAGCCUUGGGGGAGCCUCAUUGUCCCCCGGUGAGGCUCCAACGAGGUUGCCAAACCUCAUCUGGUCGGUCGCUAGCUAUCGCUAUGGCUAGCGAUCAGCCAGAGGAAAAAGAAGAGGAAGAGAAAAGAGAAAAAAAUAAAAUAAAAUGCUUGAUUCUGGAAUUAUUUCCAAGAACAAAAAAGAAAAUUUUUUGUACUUCUUAAUUCUAUUCUAAAUCUAUUCUCGAAAAUAAUAUUUUUUUUAUAUUCAACAAGGAAUAAAAAAGUUACUAAACGGAUUUUUUUUUUAGAAAUAAAAGAAUAUAAUCAAAUAUUGUUCCGUAAUUACUUGGCUUAGUAAGAUAUAAACCAUUAUACAAGUGAUUAGAAAAUGAACGGACCACAUCACCGUAGUGAGUAGAACGGAAAAAGCUACCUCUUGGACAUGAGCCAAGAAGGUUAUAUUAGGACGGGUAAUUAUGAGAUAUACUAAGUUAUCAACCAACUAUUGAUAGAGAGUAAAAUCUCGCAAUAGGGUAGGGUGCCAUUAAGAGGGUCCAGGUUGGCAUUGGGCUCCAUGGGCAAAAGUGACCUUAUCGUCAAUCAAACCCACAUCUAGAGAAUGAAAAUAUGGUGGUAUUUUCAUCUCUCCAUGGGAUCAUGAGGAAAUUAGAGGCAAGAAAUUUGGUCGCUUUUGCAAGCGCCGGAGUUCAUGGUGAUGAUGGAAUGGAUCUUCUACUGUUCAAGUCCGGAGUUAUCUUCGUGCUGUGCUUGAUCCUCACGUGGUCAUUAUGUUUUCUUGAGGCAAUGAUGGCAUCAACUCGUCUGUCUCUUGCCGCAAAUAGAGAAGGAGGGGAAAAUUAUCAAAAAAAUUCAUAAACUUAUUACACUUUUUUAAUUCAGUUUUAAAUCUCUUAAUUGUGUCAAUUCAAUCCUAAAUCUUUUUACGUUAUGUCAAUUGAGAUCAUUAGACAAAUCUUGUUUGAAAAUCGCUACCGUGAAUGCCAACCUUCCCACAUAGCAUGAUUGGCGAUAACAUAGAUAAAUUUUUAAUAAUAUUUCAAUUUUUUUUUUCUCUUCUUUUCUUUUCUUUCCUUUAUUUUUUCCUAAAUUUGGCCAUAGUCGAGGGCUAGUGACCCUCACCUAGUUUGGGCGAGGGUGUCCCAGCCCUUGCUAACCAGGCCAAUUGAGGAUCAUUGGCCCUCACUUGUGGCUGAUAAUGGUCGGCCGAUGACCUUGCUCGCCAAAAUUGGAGGAAAAAACAAAGGAAAUAAAAUAAACAAAUAAAUAAUUGAGAAAAUAUUAGAAUGUUAUUAAAAAUUAUUCAUGUCAAUACCACUCAUGCCACAUAGGACAGCAUCUAUGUCAAAUGAUUUUCUGGCUAAAUUUAGCUAAAUGGACUCAAUUGGCAAAAUAUGAAAAUGUUUAAAACUCAAUUGACGUAAUUAAACAGUUUAUGACAUAAGUGACUAAAAUAUAAUAGAUUUAGGACUUUUUGGAUAAUUUUCUCGAAAAAAGAGAAACAUCCAAUGUGGUCAUUACUACGUAGUCGGAGGUGAUGAUGGCCACCACCACGAUGGAGGCCACCACGGAAGUCACCAUGGAGGGGUGGUCAUGGGCCUUCGGCCACUCUCGUUGGAUGUGUGUUUUGCUACUAAAGCCUUCACUGGUUUCUUGACCAUGAAGUAGCAUUUUCCAUAACUCUCUAUUUUUAUUUUUAUUUUUUGUGGCCAAUGCUUAUCUCAUAUCCUCUGCUAUGCGAACAACCUUUAGUUUGGCGAGUCUUAGACACUCGAUGAGAGAGAAGCUUUGCUUGAGUAGGGAUGGAAGCUGGAGGGACUACGGUGAAAAACUCCUCGUAAUUUUGAAUUUGACACUUGAAGUUAAGAUCCAAGAUUGUUAUAAACGUUGGAGGGAUAUGUAAAUGGAGUCCCAAACCCAUCCGGUUGACUAGUGCUAGAACUUAACAAACUAUCCAACUAUAUUGUUUGGAUGGAUGGUUUUAACGAAUUAAAUAAAUGUUUUGAACCUAAGUUUAGAUGUUAUUAUAACCGAAUGGAUAAUCUGGUAAUUAAUUCGAAGGACCCACUUGCGCAAUUUCAAAGCACUCCGUGAUCUACUACCGGACGUGGAGUAGGGAAAUCAUUAUUUCAUCGGCAAGUCACCAAUAACUAGCUGCACUCAUUGCCAAUAUAAUAAAGCACUUUGUGAUCUGCUUCAGAAUAUUAGAUUCGAAAACGUACCAUGGAAUUUUUAUUGAUAAGUUACUAUUUAAUCGAAGGGGCCCACUUAUAAAAUUUUCAGGCAUUUGGUAUGCAUACUCAGCCUAUGAAGAUAAAAUCAUUAUUUCAUUUGUAAGUCGCAAACUACUUGAUGGCCCAAUUAUAAAAUUUUAUAGCACUUGGUAUCAUAUGACUGAAAAUGAAGGAUGAUAAAUGUUAUUUUAUCGAUAAGUUACUAAUUAAUUGCUAGAGCCCAUUUGCAAUAAAUAAUCUACUUGUGAAAGAGAUGGUAAAACCAUUUCUAACUCAUUGACGAGCUCAAUUAUCAAAUUGUAAAAAGAAUAAUUGGGUAACAGUUUUUAAUUUACUGUGAGAAAAAAAUUCUUUCUUGAACCACAAAAAACCAAAUAAUAAAUUAUUAUAUAUUAUGGCAGAGUUCACUCUUUAAAAAAUUUGUGGCUCACACAAUAAGUAGUUGUUUUCAAAGUAAACCAAAAACUGUUAUGUUAGUAAAGCCAAAUUUAAAAGCUCUUGUUAAUCUACUAUUGGAUACUAUUGGCCGAGAAAAAUCUAUAAUUGGAUACUAGAUUUGAGAAAAAUAAAAUCACUAUUUUGCUGGUAAGUUACAAAUAGUUGACUGGACAAGAAAGUUGCCAACUAAUGACCGACAAAAAAAUUUACUCACUAAUGAUAUCAUAGGUUCUAACAUUACAAACUUUCAGAUGAUAACAUAUUUCUUUGAGAUGGAAAGUUGAGGCAACUUGCUUGUAAUGUUCAAAGUUAGGUGGAAGAUCCUUUGUCCAAUGUGAUAUAUUUCUCAAUGGUUUCAUAAAUCUGACCGAUGGAUUAAAUUUAUGCAAUUGCAAAAGUUUUAGGAACAAUUAGCCAAAAAAAUAAGUUUAAAACUCAAUCGACACAAUUACAAUAAGUUUAUGACUUUUUUGAUAAUUUUCUCUGCUUCUAGGAAAGUCUAACAUCAGAUAUAAGAGUACCUAUAGAGUCACUCGAAUCUAUAGCAACUGACAGUUAGUCAAAGGUGAUUAUUCAUGAUGUUUUAAGGUGGUUGAAGUAGAUGACCUAGAGAGUAGUUGCAAAUAUUGAGUUAAAUGCUAUGGGUGCAGCAUGGUAGUUUCGAGUUUGGAGAUAUGAAGAGUGAAGACUGAUGGACGGUUGUGAGUUUGGAGAUAAGGAGUAACAUCUAGAAAGCUCCAAGGUUCCUCCACAUGUAGCUCAAUUUUUUUUUAAGUGCUGACUUUCUACAUAUAACAGAAUUAUCUAAACUGAAAUGGUGCAAUCUUGUUGGGGACAAAAAAAGUUAGGCUAUGUUUCAAAGGAAUCGGUUACUUUUGGCUUUCAUUAUAUGUGCUACGAGUUAGAAAAUGCCGCGGAGAGACAACUGAUUUCAACGACAACUAUGGCUAUGACAACAGAAGGAACUGAAGAGGUAGCGUGGUCUAAUGACUUGAUUGGUGAUGAUGGCUUGGAAAUCCGGUUGUUUUGGUGUUCAUGUCAAGAGAGGAUUUGACAUCGAAAAAGUUUCUUGCCGCAAAGAUUUUUGCAGACAUGCGAACUGAGUUCAAUCGUUUGGAGUAGUUUGAGCCCAACGCAGUUUUGAUGGACAUCUAAAGUAGUUAAGCAUCUAUUGAGGUAUUGGGAGGGCCUGCAUGGAUGACGAGCACCGUGACCUGCCCUUGAACAUUGAGCCAAGCGAAAAAUUGUUAAAUUUGGGGCUCAAAAUUCUAGUCAAAUUUGGAGUUGGGGUCAAGUCUAGAGAUCGAUAGGUCCAGGAUUUUUUGGACCAAUGGCCGAGGCUUCGAACCAGGAGCUUCCCAAUAAUCUGUUGCUACUACGCUCAGGGUGGGCACCUGACUAGAGGCCGACAUAAACCUCUUGGCUGUCCGGUUUUGUUUAGCCUAUUUUAAUAACACACACUUUUGUGAGUUUCUGGAAUGACUUAUUUUUUAAGAAUUGCAAGAUAACAUUGAUAGAUUUAUUUUGAGAGUGACCUUGGGUAGGGAAACAUGUGAGUGAUUGUAAUUAUGUAGUCUCUAUUCAUAAUGGAUUUCUCUUCUAUUGACUCUUUUCAAGGAGUAGGUACCGACAUUCAGGUUGAAUGACAUAAAUUUCUGGUGAUCUUUGUCAUAACUCGUUGAUUUUCCUGAUAUUUUUUUUUUCAUAUUAGAUUUGAAUUGCUAGCUUGAAUAGUUAUUUCACAAUGCAUCCACAUCCAUUUUGCAUCACACACAUACUAUGUGUUUGUAAAAAAAAAAAAAAUCUAGUUUAUAUAAAACUCGAUAGGAUAUAUAAGAUUUCAAUCUCUCAGACCCUAUUGAUGAACAAUGCUUUCAGCAUCAAAUCAUCUAAUAAAAUAAAAUUAAUUAGUCUUUGAUUGGUAUUCGUUAUUAGCAAAUAAUAAUAAAUAGAAAAAACCAUAUUUUGCAGAGAAAUUUGCUAUUUGAAUCUUGAACUUAUUAUACAUAUUUAAUUCAAUUUUAAACAUUUUAGUUGAUUCACUAUAGGUCUAAACCCUUACAUGACAUUUUAAUAUAGUCCUGUUGAUUAUUCUUGCCUCAAAUUAUUGACGUGGCGAUCCAGUCAUCCCGUCUAUCAAACACAAACAACUUUACUCGAAACGAUACUGUUUUGCUUAAAUUUCUUAGUUUCUUAAUUUUUAUCCUUUUCUUUAUUCUUUCUUUUUUCCUUUUCUGUCCACUGUUUAUUUUUUUGGUCUGGUAAAGCGUGAACGCUUAUGACAACAAUAUUUUGAGCAUGAUCAUCCAUAUCCGUAAGCCACCACUCAAAUCACGCCAAACAACUCCUCAACUAUCUCAGUUGACGAAUUUCUAACACUCUAUGAGCCUACAGAAAGUGGGCUCAUUUGAAUUCCUUUCGACUUCUACCAUCUGAAUUCCCUCCCAUAUGAGACGGAAAUGAUUGAAACCCCAAAAAACUCGAUCAGCUUCGCAAUAAUCUGAUAUAUGCUAAAGCAUGAAUGAACAAUCGCCUACAAAUUAAGAAGCAGUAGAAGCGGCUUCAAUCUCCCUGGCCUUCAAUGGCCACCGAGCUCGAAGCAGCUGAACUUGAGUUGCUGCAAGCUCGCCAAGAUGUGGAGGCUCGGCCCAUGGCUGUCGAGCUCGACGAGCCAUGGCAACACCUUGUAGAGUUGAGCAACAAAGGCGUAUGCAGAAUUCAAUCGUGAAAUCAAGGUAGAAGGACGUGCCAGACCUGGUAAAGUAGGAGGUGAAAAAAAAGAGAGAGAAUAAAAUAUAAGUUCUGCAUAAAGGCAUCGUUUUGAGUAAAUUUGUCGAACAUGCCACUUAAGAUGGUAUGUGAUGACUAGACCACCACAUUAACAAUUUCAGAAGGGCUUUCAUCAGGGGGACUUGAUUGGAGUUUCACUAAGGGUUUGGACAACACUGAAUCAACUGCAAGAUAUGCAAUAGAUCUACGAUGGGAAUGACAAUAUCUUCGUAGCUGCCCACGAUUGCCUAAAAAUUCCCAGAAAUACUACGGCUCUCUUAAGUCAUAAACCAGCUGACUUAAGAUUAAGAGAGCUGUACCUUUCAAACAAAAACAGAAUGAGUCGUAUCAUCUCACCGACCGUCUUGAUUGACCCGCAACUUCCCUUGUUCACCGUUUUGGUCCAAUCAGGAGCAUGUGCACGACCCUUAUUUGAGAUUACGAUCACCAGCUCGAUGUCACCACUUUGCCAUUUUAAGACUGUCUAAGUUUGAUCAGAAGAAACUUCGCAGAACCUUCACCAUGACUCCCGAUACGUCAACCAAAGGGAAUUAUCUUCAGAGUCUUCCCCUCAACUUUUGUGGUCCAUCAUCGUUAUGGUCGCGAGCACAAAUAAUUUAUAUGGAAAUCAUCAUAAGCCUCUCCCAUCAAUAAUAUAUAAUUUGAGUCAGAAAAUAUCAUCCGUUAAGAUUGCGAAGUAGAGAGAUUGAUUGAAGCUAAUCACAAUUCCAACACGAAAAGAUGAACACCCAAUUUUCUUCACAACCGGAUUAAAAAGUCGUCAGUGUGGAAUAAUUGGGUGGUUGAAAACUUGCAUCCAUCCUUCAGUUUUUGAGACUGACAGUGACGUACUUUUCUCCAUGAGAUGAUGAGGAAAUUCAUGGCGAGAUAUUGCGUCGAUUUUGAGAGCGCCGGCGUUCGUGGUGGUGAUGAUGGGUCGGGUCUUCUGCUGCUUAAGGCCGGAGUGAUCUUCGUGGCGUGCUUGAUGCUCGCGUCCAUCAUCGUGUUUUCCAGCGCCAAUGAAGGCAACGGCUCGCUCUGCUCUGGCCGCAAAAAGAAAAAUUCACUUGGAGGACAUUUUGGGAGUCGUGCCGUAAUUAAGCCAAUUGCGUAAGAGUGCUGCUAGGCUAACGGCCACCGUCAUUCUCAGAAGAACAUUCCAAAUUCAAAGAAAGGGACAACUGAAAGGUCAAGUUUAGCCUUUUUUGACGUGGCCAUUAUUAUUAUUAUUAUUAUUUUUUUGGUGAAAAAUUAUUUAUUGAGUGCUGCUAUAUCAGUGGUCACGGAGACCUAUUGACCACAUAUUCCUCUCACAGCCCCAUACUAACCGAUCGGACUUAUGGAGGAAUCUAAAUGUAAAUUCUGUAAAUUUUGCUUACCUUAAUGAAUUAAACAAUAGAAACUUAUUAAGAAACAAUGGACGAUGCACAUGAUCUCUCAACGAGUACACUCCUCAUUUCCAAUGUAAAAAGUAUAUUGAUGGCGUAUGAAGUACAUAUUAUGUUCUGUGGGUAUAUUUGAUUUGGUGAUGCAAUUUAUAUUUUAAGUCAUAUCAUAUUAAUGAAUUUAUAUGAUAAUUUGAAUAAAGAUGAUUCGUCUAGAUUCAUCAAAAGUCAAAAGAUGAAUUUGAGACUUUUCCGUCAAAUCCAAAAUAUUAUGUGAGUUUUAAACGAUUUUUGGGUCAACAUUCGUGUAAAAAAAUAAAUUAUUGUGACUAAUUGAAAUACAAGCCAAUCUUUGAUAUCCCAUCUUUUUUUUUUCUUUUGUCACAAUGAAUUGUAAAUUAAUCUGAAAUUAAUAGAUAAACUUACUGUAUUAAAAUCACUGGCUGUAGUGGCUCCACUGUAUAAGAGUUCCAUUGAUCCUUCCCCAAAGGUGAGGGGUUCCUAGAUCAUCAAAAAAAAAAAAAAAACUUACCGUAUUAAAGAAACUGUACUUUUUACGGAAGAGAUAAUUUUUUUUUUUUUUUUAUGAAUAGAAGGAUGAGAACGGAGACUAGCACAAAUAAUUUUUAAUGAAUAGCAUGUGAUGACUGGAUUGCUACAUUAUCAAUUCCAAGUGAGUUUUUGUCAGGAGGACUUGGUUGGAGUUUCACUCAAAAGUUUCUAACAACGUUGAAGCAAUUACAAGGUGUGCCAUAAGUCUCUGACAGGAAUAACAAUUUCUUGGUAGCUACUGUAUUGCCCAGAAAGUUCCCAAGAUACAACGGCUCUCUUAAGUCAUAGACCAGCUGACUUAAGAUUAAGAAAGCCGUACCUUUCUACCAAAAACAGAAUUGACCGGUAGAUCGGCCAAAAUACAACUCGUCCCACGUCGAACAUGGAGUGUCUUGAUUGACCCGCAACUUCCCUUGUUCACCGUUUUGGACCAACCAGGGGCAUGUGCACGACUCUUUCUGAGAUUAGGAUCACGAGUUCGACGUCACCACUUCGCCAUCAGAAGCAAUUUCGUAGAACCUUUGUCACGACUCCCAACAAGUCAUCCGAAGGGAAUUGUCUCCGAAGUUGUCCCCUCGACUUUUGUGGUCUAUCACCGUUAUGGCCAGUGCUUAAAUUUAAUGUUCCUCGCCUUAGGAGUAGAGUUGAAUUCUUGCUUCUCUCCAUGAGAUGAUGAGGAAAUUCAUCGCGAGAUAUUGCGUCGAUUUCGAGAGCGCUGGCGUUCGCGGUAGUGACGAUGGGUCGGGUCUUCUGCUGCUUAAGGCCGGAGUGAUCUUCGCGGUGUGCUGGAUGCUCGCGUCCAUCAUCGUGUUUUCCUGCGCCAAUGAAGGCAACGGCUCGCUCUGCUCUGGUCGCAAAAAGGAAAAUUCACUAGGAGGACAUUUUGGGAGUCGUGCCAUAAUUAAGCCAAUUGCGUAAGAGUGCCGCUAGGCUAAGAGCCACCGUUAUUCUAAGAAGGACAUUCCAAAUUCAAAGAAAGGGGCAACAGAAAGGUCAAGUUUAGCGUUUUUUGACGUGGCCAUUAUUUAUUGAGUGCUGCUAUAUCAGUAAUCACGGAGACCUAUUGACCAAAAAUUCCUCUCACAGCCCCAUACCAACCGAUCGGACUUAUGGAGGAAUCUAAAUGUAAAUUCUGUAAAUUUUGCUUACCUUAAUGAAUUCAACAAUAGAAACUUAUUAAGAAACAAUGGACGAUGCACAUGAUCUCUCAACGAGUACACUCCUUAUUUCCAAUGUGAAAAGUAUAUCAAUGGUGUAUGAAGUACAUAUUAUGUUCUGUGGGUAUCUUUGAUUGGUGAUGCAAUUUAUAUUUAAGUUAUAUCAUAUUAGUGAAUUUAUAUAAUAAUUUGAAUAAAGUUCAUUCAUCUAGAUUCAUCAAAAGUCAAAAGAUGAAUUUGACACUUUUCCGUCAAAAUCUAAAAUAUUAUGUGAGUUUUAAAAGAUUUUUGAGUCAACAUUCGUGUAAAAAAAAAUUAUUGUGACUAAUUGAAAUACAAGCCAAUCUUUGAUAUCGCAUCUUUUUUUUUUUUCCUUUUUCACAAUGAAUUGUAAAUGAAUCUGCAAUUAAUUAAUAAACUUACCGUAUUAAAGAAACAGUACUUUUUACGGAGGAGUUUUUUUUUUUUUUUUUAAUGAAUAGAGGGAUGAGAAUGGAGACUAGCACAAAUAAUUUAUAUGGAAAUCAUCAUAAGCCUCUCGCAUCAAUAAUAUAUAAUUCGAGUCAGAAAACAUCAUCCGUUAAGAUCGCGAUGUAUAGAGAUUGAUGAAGCUAAUCACAAUUCCAACACGAAUAAAUGAACACCACUUUUCUUCACAACCGGAUCAAAAAGUCGUCAGUGUGGAAUAAUUGGGUGGUUGAGAACUUGCAUCCAUCCUUCAGUUUUUGAGAUUGACAGUGACGUACUUUUCUCAUCCCUAUAUAAUUGAAGGUCCCUCAUCUCAUGUAUAUUGUCUCCUGCCUACAACUAUUGAUACCGCGAAUGGUUGAGUUCUUGCUUCUCUUCACGACAUAAUGAGGCCAUCAACGGCGAGCAGUUGGAUCGAUUUAGCAAGCCCCGGUGUUCAUGGUGAUGAUGGAGCGGAUCUUCUGCUACUCAAGUCUGGAGUGAUCUUCAUGCUGUGCUUGAUCCUUGCGUCAGUUGUUAUCUUUUCCUGUGGCGACUCUCAGAAUGAAAAAGGCGGCCGUGCUGGAAGCAGUAGUCGGGGUGCGGCGGCUGCAAGCGUGGCGGCUGCAAGCGCGGCGGCUGCAAGCACAGUGGCUAGUUCGGGUGGAGGCGGGGGCGGCGGAGGGUGUUGAAUUGACCUUAUAUUUAUAUACCUUUAAGGCAUGAGUUAAAAAAAAAAAAAAGCAUUUUCAUUUCAAAAAAUUGCGAUGCGAUAGUGUGGUCUGUGUUUCAUAUUAGGAUUGCUAUUUAGGGUUAAGUAUAUUGUUAUUUACAUAUGUUGUAUUUAAGUAUAAUUGUACUCUCACCCUAUACUUGUGUUCCUCAUUUGAUAAUGCACGGGCUGUUAUAAUCCUCUCUCUUUCAUUACAAAUUCUGUAAAUUUUGCUUGCCUUAAUGAAUUCAACAAUACAAACUUAUUAAGAAACAAUGGACAAUGCACAUAAUCUCUCAACGAGUACACUCCUUAUUUCCAAUGUGAAAAGUAUAUUGAUGGCGUAUGAAGUACAUAUUAUGUUCUGUGGGUAUCUUUGAUUUGGUGAUGCAAUUUAUAUUUAAGUUAUAUCACAUUAGUGAAUUUAUAUGAUAAUUUGAAUAAAGAUCAUUCAUCUAGAUUCAUCAAAAGUACAUUUUCUUCACAGCCGGAUUAAAAAGUCGUCAGUGUGGAAUAAUUGGGUGGCUGAAAACUUGCAUCGAUCCUUCAGUUUCUGAGAUUGACAGUGACGUACUUUUCUCAUCCCUAUAUAAAUGAAGGUCCCUCAUCUCAUGUAUAUUGUCUCCUUCCUACUACUUUUGAUACCGCGAAUGGUUCGAGUUCUUGCUUCUCUUCACGACAUAAUGAGGAAAUCAACGGCGAGCAAUUGGAUCGAUUUAGCAAGCCCCGGUGUUCAUGGUGAUGAUGGAGCGGAUCUUCUGCUACUCAAGUUCGGAGUGAUCUUCGUGCUGUGCUUGAUCCUUGCGUCAGUUGUUAUAUUUUCGUGUGGCGACUCUCAGCACAAAAAAAGACGCACAGGCAUAUGCGGCAGUGGUUGCGGUGGUUGCGGUGGAGGCGACGGUGGCGAUGGAGAUGGAGGAGGCGGCGGUUGUGGCGGGUGUUGAAAUGAACUUAUACCUAUAUACCUUUUAGGCCUGAUUUGCAAAAAAAAAAAAAAAAAAGCAGUUUCAUUUCAAUAAAUUGUAAUGCGAUAGUGUGGUCUGUGUUUCAUAUUAGGAUUGUUAUUUAGGGUUAAGUAUAUUGUAAUUUACAUAUGUUGUAUUUAUGUAAAUUGUACUCUCCCCCCUAUACUUGUGUUCCUCAUUUGAUAAUGUACGGGAUAUUAUAAUCCUCUCUCUUUCUUUACAAAUCUUAACUUGAUGUCAGAGUUAUUUGUUGUUUGAGGAAACUCCCAUUGAGAUUGUUCCACGGCCAGCCACACCAGCCACCAUUCUCCACCAAGUCCUCACCUUUCAGUUGCAGCUCAACAUCCUUCCAUUGCUCAAUCUAAAAAACAAAGACCACCAACAGACUCGUUGUCCUCAAACAGCCCAUAUCCUAAACACUCAUCACAAAUGGACGCCAAAUGCCACCACAUGUCGGAUUGUACAUUGUUUAUAAAUGAUCAUAUUAAAGUGGUGUUUUGUCAAGUCCAGCUAAGUGGAUUAUCAAUGUUAUUAUCCUAUAAUGGUAACCAAAAACUUGCAGGCAUUAUUGGGCACGUGUCAUGAGCUGAUUGGUUAAUUAAAACAUAUUCAUCACUCUUUUCCACCCUCGGCCUCAUUUGGUCUAUCUGACUUACCAAGAUUAAAAUGGAUUCCAAGUAUCCUUCCCUUUUGUUCUUAGCGUCAAUUGUAGAGGUGGAGAGGGAGCUAGUAAGCCUUAUAUUUUUGGCCGUUACAUCUAGUGGUCAUAGCCUGGCCGCUGGAUAUUGAUGUAACUUCACCAUCAUAUCAGCAUCUAUCCUACUCCAAGGUUUACACUAGGCAAGAGAGUUACACCGAUGUUUGCUCUAGACCGUUCAAUUGAGUUGCACAAUCUACCCCGUAUAAUAGUAAUUUAACCAACAGCAACCCCGACACUUGAUUUCUAGUGAAUGGUAACUGUCCCGCGGGAUUUUUUUUUGAGUUAAUCUCGAUCCCUCCCUAGUUUUCAAGCCUCACUUCUUUGCUUCCAUGUUGAUCUCCUUUCUGUUCUAUGUUGCCCUCAAGAUGAUCAGUUGGUCAACUUGGGUUCUGAACCCAAUAUCGCGCCCCCGAUGUGGGGUCCUCCGACCCAUCCUCUUCCUCUCGACCUUGGUCUGCAACGCAGAUCUUGGCUUUCCUACCAACUAAUUCUCUAGUUCCGUUACCUUAGAAGAUCUAGCUGACAUUAGAAGAGACGUCGAUUUCCUGGAAAUUUCACCAUUUAUUGUCCUGGUUUGUGGACUGGGCUUGUACGCCUACACCUGGCUGCAUAAGCGUUUGCCAAUAACGCUUAGCUGCUGGCCCUAGAGUUCCAAUUCCGCUAAAUCCCUAGAUCUCCCGUUGCGCCAACUCACUCCUAACGCCAUUAGAUAUAUCACAGGCUCUAUUCUAAUUCUCCGCCGGGCUGGAAAGGUUUAUUUCCUGGAUGCUUCCUUGAAUCUUUCCAAGCCAAUGCAGGUGGCUGAGGAGAAGGGUCGGUCGCAUUUAUCUCCCUAGCAUCCCAACGCUUCCUUUUUUUUUUUUUUUUUUUUUAAAUGAUCAUCCUUCCUCCAACAAGGAUUGGAAGGAAAAAUAGUUGUACUUGGACUCACCUACCAAGACAGUGGAGGCUCCCGACAAGGUGAGCCGCUCUCCACAAAAACCAUUUAAGGACGUGUUCCAUAAUAAUUAUGUUUUGAGAAACAAUUUUUACUUAUAAAUAGUUUUUUAUGAUUCUGUUUUGUUUUCUGAAUGACUUUCUAAGCAUUUGAAGACGUGUGGUAACUGUCCAAAAUUUUUUAUUUCUGGAAUAAAAAUGUGUUUGGUAUGAUCUCAAUUUUUUUUUUGUGACUUAGAAUUUCUUCUAAUUUUUUAAGUAAUUUUAUUACAUUUUUCUUUUUCCUUUUCCUUCUCUUCUUCUUCCUCUUGCUAGUCACCGGCCUUGGGAGAGCCUCAUCGCCCCCUGGCGAGGCUCCAGCGAGGUUGCCGAACCUCAUUUGGUUGGUUGCUAGCUAUCACCGUGGCCGGCAAUCAACUAGAGGAAGAAGAAGUGGAAGAGAAAAGAGAGAAAAAAAAAGCUUGAUUCUGGAGUUAUUUCCAAGAAUAAAGAAGCAAAUUUUUUGUACUUCUCGAUUCUAUGCUAAAUCUAUUCCUGGAAAUAAAAAAAAAUGAUAUUCGACAAGGAAUAAAAAAGCUACUAAACAGAUUUUUGUAUUUUUUUUCUUUUUUUUCUGAAAAAUAAAAGAAUAGAAUCAAAUAUUGUUUUACACGUUACCACCCAUGGAGUCCCUCCGAAGCUAGUCUUAGAGAUCGUGGUUGAGGGGCUCGACGGGGACAUCAAGGGCUUAAUCACUGACAGUCUCUUCGAAGCUAGUCUUACUCCUUUCCCACCUCGUAAUGGUAGGGGUACGUCCCGGGCGUAACCCUUCUUGGACAUGUCCCCUUUUAGUAGCGGAAACUUCAUUUAUAUCAUUUAUUUUAAUAUUUCUCUUCUUGCAGUGAACCCUCGAGAGCUAUGGAAAUGGAUGAAGAGGCCGCGAGAUGGCUCGCGGUGACAAAGGAUUUCCAGUGUGCCAGUCGGCCAUUAACAAAGGUAAUUUUUACUUGCUGCCCCCAGCCAGUUAGAGGUGCAGCCCGCCAGGGACACUCUCGAGUCGCUUCUUUUGACUUGUGAUGAAGAAGGCUUCUAGUUUGCUUCUACCGAGCAGCCUCUCCGGAGAUCCAAAAGGAAGAGGAUUGCUUGCUUUCUCAGAACCCCAACAAGCUCAAACUUAACACUCCCCUACAAGAUCUUGUGGACAAGACACGAUGCCGAUGGAAAAAUGCCUUCCUUUCUUCAAAUUGUUGAGGGGCGGUGUUGGAUUUCAGUAAGGCUAUUUCUAGAAAUUUCGUAGGAAGAACAACAAAGCUAUUCAUUCAUUUCCACAGACGGCGCCAAUAUUGAAGGCUGAAAUGAGAAACACGAACUCUGCCAAAGGUCUUGCCGGAAUUUUGAUUGGGGCGUACGGAUUUUGUGCCAGGAUUGGUCCUCUGAUGCUUAGGUUCGGACUGGAAUGUGGGAAAUCUAGAAAAAGGAAAUGAUGCGGAGCUUUAGGAAUGAGGAGAGAGAUUUCUUCCGAAAGGGACCUUAUGAUAUGGUCUUUACCAUCCUUCCUACACUAUCCUGGAGCGACAUGCCUAAUUGAGUGCGGACUAUACCGGGGAUUUAAUGAUUGCAUUUCUAAAACAGGGUUUUGCGUUUUUUUCGGCAGUUCCGUAAUUACUUGGCUUAGUAAGAUACACACCAUUAUACAAGUCAUUAGAAAAAUGAACGGACCACAUCAACAUAGUGAGUAGAACGGAAAAAGCUACCUCUUAGACAUGAGCCAAGAAGGUUAUAUUAGGACGGGUAAUGAUGAGAUAUACUAAAUUAUCAACCAACUAUUGAUAGAGUGUAAAAUCUCGCAAUAAGGUGCCAUUAAGAAGGUCUAGGUUGGCAUUGGGCUCCAUGGGUAAAAGUGACCUUAUCGUCAAUCAAACCCACAUCUAGAGAAUGAAACUAUGGUGGUAUUUUCAUCUCUCCAUGGGAUCAUGAGGAAAUUAGAGGCGAGAAAUUUGGUCGCUUUUGCAAGCGCCGGAGUUCAUGGUGAUGAUGGAACGGAUAUUCUACUGUUCAAGUCCAGAGUUAUCUUCGUGCUGUGCUUGAUCCUCACGUUGGUCAUUAUGUUUUCCUGAGGCAAUGAUGGCAUCAACUCGUCUGGCUCUUGCCGCAAAUAGAGAAUGAGGGGAAAAUUGUCAAAAAAAUUCAUAAACUUAUUACACUUUCUUAAUUCAAUUUUAAAUCUCUUAAUUGUGUUAAUUGAAUCCUAAAUCUUUUUACGUUUUGUCAAUUGAGAUUAUUAGGCAAAUCUUAUUUGAAAAUCGCUAACAUGAAUGCCAACCUUCCCACAUAGCAUGACCGGUGAUAACAUGGAUAAAUUUUUAAUGAUAUUUCAAUUUUUUAUUUUUUAUUUUAUUUUUUUCUUCUUUUCUUUCUUUCCUUUAUUUUUUCCUAAAUCUGGCCAUAGUCGAGGGCUAGUGACCCUCACCUAGUUUGGGCAAGGGAGUCCCGGCCCUUGCUGACCAGGCCAAUUGGGGAUCAUUGGCCCUCACUUGUGGCUGAUAAUGGUCGGCCGAUGACCUUGCUCGCCAAAAUUGGAGGAAAAAACAAAGGAAAUAAAAUAAAUAAAUAAAUAAUUGAGAAACUAUUAGAAUGUUAUCCAUGUCAAUGCCACUCAUGCCACAUAAGACGGCAUCUACGUCAAAUGAUUUUCUGGCCAAAAUAUAGGUGAAUUGACUCGAUUGGCAAAAUAUGAAAAGGUUUAGGACUCAAUUGGUAUAAUUAAACGGUUUAUGACAUAAGUGACUAAAGUAUAAUAGGUUUAGGACUUUUUGGAUAAUUUUCUUGAAAAAGAGAGACGUCCAAUGUGGUGGUUACUACGUAGUCGGAGGUGAUGAUGGCCACCACCACGAUGGAGGCCACCACGGAAGUCACCAUGGAGGAGGUGGUCAUGGGCCUUCGGCCACUCUCGUUGGAUGUGUCGUGUUUUGCUCCUAAGCCUUCACUGGUUUCUUGACCAUGAAGUAGCAUUUUCCAUAACUCUCUAUUUUCCAAUGCUUAUCUCGUAUCCUCUGCUAUGCGAUUUUCAGCUCAACCUUUAGUUUGGCGAGUCUUAGACACUCGAUGAGACAGAAGCUUCGCUUGAGCAGGGAUGGAAGCUGGAGGGACUACGGUGAAAAACUCGUCGUAAUUUUGAAUUUGACACUUGAAGUUAAGAUCCAAGAUUGUUAUAAACGUUGGAGGGAUAUGUAAAUGGAGGCCCAAACCCAUCCGGUUGACUAGUGCUGGAACUUAACAAACUAUCCAACCAUAUUGUUUGGAUGGAUGGUUUUAACGAAUUAAAUAAAUGUUUUGAACCUAAGUUUAGAUGUUAUUAUAACCGAAUGGAUAAUCUGGUAACUAAUUCGAAGGACCCACUUGUGUAAUUUCAAAGCACUCCAUCAUCUACUACCGGACGUGGAGUAGUGAAAUCAUUAUUUCAUCGGCAAGUUACCAAUAACUAGCUGCACUCAUUGCCAAUUAGUAAAGCAGUUUGUGAUCUGCUUCUGAAUAUUAGAUUCGAAAACGUACCAUGGAAUUUUUAUUGAUAAGUUACUAUUUAACCGAAUGGGCCCACUUAUAAAAUUUUCAGGCAUUUGGUAUGCAUACUCAAUCUAUCAUGAUAGAGGAGUAGAGUAGGACCGACCAAGAAAAAAAAUCUAUCGUGAUAAAAUCAUUAUUUCAUUUUUAAGUCGCAAACUACUUGAUGGCCCAAUUAUAAAAUUUUAUAGCACUUGGUAUCAUAUGACUGAAUAUGAAGGAUGAUAAAAUAGUUAUUUUAUCGAUAAGUUACUAAUUAAUUGCUAGAGCCCACUUGCAAUAAACCAUGAAAGAAGAUGAAGACGAAGUAGUCGAGAGAAGAAUUUUCUUUGUAUUCUAUAUAUUCCUCAAUGUACAAUGUUCACAUUGUUUAUAAUACAAAGUGUGUAUAAGAAAAAGCAAGUAAAUAUUUUACAAUAUUUGGAUCUGAUUAGAUCCGAUACUAAAUGAACGUGAUUGAUCCUUGAAUGAUAUUGUGAAUCUUCAUGUGUAUCUUCCAACACUUCCUCUCAAGCUGGUGGCUUGUAGAUAUCCAAGACACCUAGCUUGCUUAGGAGAUAUGCGUUCUGGCUUUGACACAAGGGUUUGGUGAAGACGCCCGCUGGUUGUGUGGCAUCCCAGAAAUUCAAAGCCAAGCUUUAAGGUGUGUUAAAGUCUUUAAUUAGGUGGUAGAAUUUUCAUGGCUUAUGUUUUAGCCAUUAGUCUUUUAAUUUGAUGAUUUGUGCUCAUGAUUGUGGAAAUUUAAAUUUAAUAGAUUAAUGCUUGGCCAUAUGAUUAAAUUUCAAUGAGCAAAAAUAUCCUAAGACUUUGGCCAAGAUUGAAAAUUGAAAUUUAGAAAUAUUUAUAAAAGGAUUUUAAAAGAAAAAAAAAAAAAGAGGAAAAAGGGGUUGGAUUUUCGAAAUGGGCCUUGGGCCCAUUAGCCUAAAGCUUGGUGGGCCAAGCUAGUCGGCCCAUUAGAGCCCAAGAAGAGGAUUCGACCAGCCCAAGGGGAGUGGCCGGAUGGGCCUAAGCCCAAGCCCAAACCAAAUUUAAAAAAAAAAAAGAAAACCCAAUGAGACAAGUGGCAAAUGGCAAGAGCAUGCAUUGGUGGGUUUGUAGGCAAAUCAAUCAUUACUAAUGAUGGGCUCUAGGGGGUAUAAGAGGAGAGGAGAGAGAGAGAGGAGUGGCCGGAUUCUUUUGGCCGAGAGAAAGGGGUGCGAGAGAGAGAGGGAAAUCGCGAGAGAGAGGGAGAGACCGAGGGGGAGAGGAGGCGGAGCUGAGGAGGAGCCGCCGUGUGCCGCCGUGUCCGACCGCCAUACGCCGUCGUUUGUCCAUCUUAGAGGCAAGUGGAGUCCUUAACUUCUCUUGCAUGUUUGUUUUGUUGGUUGCAUGUUCGAUUUUAGGUGUGAUUUGUGAGAGAAACCGAGGUAAGGGUUGGUUGUUUUCAAGCCGUGUGACUGUUCUUGUUCGGUUUGUGGAAGUCAGUAGCUUGUUCGAGCUUGCAUGUGUGUUUGGAGUCCUAUUUUGGCUUCGGUGUCUUCAUAAAAGUUGUAGCUAACAUCUUUUACUAUAACAUACUGAAAUUUCGUGAAAAAUGAUGGAGAUUUGAGGGGUAAAAAGUUCUAUCAUACGGAGACCUUAGAUCUGCGAAAUCUUCACUGACCUCUUGUUGAUUUCUUGAUUGCAUGUUGAUUUCUGUUGGAGAUCUCACUUUGUUGUCUUCAUGAAAGUUGUAGGUAACAUCUUAAAAUACAACAUACUCAAAUUUGAAGAGAAAUGAACGAGUAUAGCCUAGUGAAUCGGCUAGAUCUUGGAGAUGAUUGAUUCUGGUGGUGUGUUCCGAGACACCCGAGACUUGAUGGACUUAAAUGGUGACCAUAAUUAGGUUAUUUGACCUAGAUCUCUUCAUAAAACUUGUAAAGGACACCUUGGUACACAACAUACUAAAAUUUCAGAGGAAACGAAAGAGAAUAGAUGGGUGAAAUCUAAAAAUUUCGGAGAAGUGUAUUCUGGACGACGCGGUAGUGGUUCCAGAGGUUUCGUGGGGUUGUAUAAAUUAAUCAAAGAAUUUGGCUUAGAGUUCUUCACGAAAAGUGCACGAAAAUGUGUUGGCUAUCACCCUGUAAAUUUCGUAAUUUUUGAAGGCCAUAUUAGUAUUUUAAUCGAAUUUAUUUGGAAACUGUGCAAUCUGGCCAUUAUCCGAAUAUCAUGUGCUAUUUUGUGAAAAUUGUGAAAUCAUGUGAAAUUCAAUUUGGCCAUGAAUUUUGUAUGGAAUUGUCAUCUUAUUGGUUUGUUAAAUGAUUGCUUGAAUAUUAUGAUUUUGGGAAAAUCAUAAAUAUUAAAUGUAAUAUUUAUUUAUGAAAAUAAAUAAAUAAAAAUAAUAAAAAUAAUAAUAAAAUAAAGGUGGAUUAUUUUAUCGGCCAUGAAUUCUAUUGAAUUUAUUAUGCAUUGUUAUAUGACAUUGGUGUAUGUAUGAUCAUGAAUUGUGAUGCAUGUGUGAAUCAUAUGCCAUGUAAUAAUGAGAAUAAAUGGAUGAUGCGGAAAGUGAUAUGUGAGUAAGAGGUUGUGGUGGAGGAUGUGGCCGGAAUGUACAGAGAUGCAUUGCCGGAAUUCCCUGGGAGAUUCAGGAUGCCCGGAAUGUGGGGGGCCGGAAGCCUUGUCGGAGGUCUUUGCCCGAAAGGAAUGCCUCGCGAUGCCAGGAUUUGGGUGCGGGAUGCCUGGCUAGAAGGGUAAAGGCCGGAAACCCUGUCGGAGGUUUCUGCCUGAAGGGAAUGCCUCGUGAUGCUAGUUGAGAUGCGAGAUGCCCGGAAUGUGGGGGGCCGGAAGCCCGGUGGCCAUGGGAUGGUUGAGUUUGCCGGGAGCCCUGUCGGAGGUUUCUGCCCGAAGGGUUGAUGAUGAGAUUGAUGAAUGGGUGAUGUGGUGAUCAAAAUUGAAAGAUAAAGAUGAAAAUUAAACCAUGAUAUGAUAUGCAUGAUGAUAUGCAUGAUGAUGAUGAUGAUGAGAUGUGAUGUGAUAUGAUGAUCACCUAUGAUAAUAUAUGCAUGAUGAUGCAUGAUGAUGAUGAGAAGUGAUGUGAUGUGAUGAUCACCCAUGAUAUGAUAUGCAUGAUGAUAUAUGCAUGAUGAUGAUGACGUAUACAUGAUGAUGAUGAGAUGUGGUGUGAUAUGAUGAUCACCUAUGAUAUGAUAUGCCUGAUGAUAUAUGCAUGAUGAUGAUGAGAUGUGAUGUGAUAUGAUGAUCACCUAUGAUAUGAUAUGCAUGAUGAUAUAUGCAUGAUAAUGAUGAUAUAUGCAUGAUGAUGAUGAGAUGUGAUGUGGUAUGAUGAUCACCUAUGAUAUGAUAUGCAUGAUGAUAUGCAUGAUGAUAUGCAUGGUGAUAUGUAUGAUGAUAUGCAUGAUGCAUUGGGUUGUUAUUGGAUUUCCCUAUCUGCUGAGUGGUUGUACUCACCUCUUUUGGGGAAUAACAUUUCAGAUUAGCAGUAUGCCGCUUCCUGCCGUCUCGCGGGAGGUAUUCUAUGGUCUACCGUCUGAUGUAGAGGUUGAGUGUGCGGAGAUAGAUUGUCUCUCUGUUCCCGGACUGACUUUUAUCCGAGUGCGAUGUCUAGUGAUGUAUGAUAUCGGUCUGGCUGGGGGCCCUGUCAUACAAGAGUUCAUUUCUGUGCACGUUCGACGGGAUGGAGCUAUGCGAGGGAUGCUGCCGCCGCCACCACCUGAUGCACCGGGUUGGGUGUGAGACCUGCGCGCGAUGAGUAGGAGCUUGAUCUCUUUUUGAUGUAGAUAGUCGACGCUUUCGAUGGGAGGGUUUUGUGCUCGCAUGAUGUUGAGGGUCGAGGGUUUCUUUUUGAGAUUUUAGGUAGGACAUGGCAGAGUCCUAACCUUUCUUGUUUUUGUACCGACCCGAAGGGAACCCCAUCUUGCUAUAUAUAUGAGUAUGUAAGCAAAGCGUCGAAGUUGUUUAUAAAAUCCUGAUGUUUAGCUGGUGUGUAUUUGUAUCAUGGAUUGGUAGGGGGGAUAGAUGGUGAUGUUUAAUUUGCUUCCGCUAUGAGUCGCGUUGGGACCGAUUGUUUAAAAAAAAAAAUGUGUCUGCAAAUUAGGACGCUUGUUCGAAAGAAAGAAAUGUAAUAAAGUGUAAUAUCAGCACUGGUAACGACCUGCGAAGGGUUCGGGGUGUUACAGGUUGCUCUUCUAUUCGGAUCCCCAGUGUCUCGAUUAUCCCUUGCUGGAUCUUUUCUCGCGUGAAAUGGUAGUCCACUUCUAUGUGCUUCGUUCUUUCAUGAACUAUUGGAUUUGAGGCAAGUUUGAGAGGCGCAUCGUUGUCACAAAAAAAAUUGGUUGGUCCUUCAAUUUGUACCCCAAGAUCUCGAAGCAAUCUGCGUAGCCAUACUAUCUCACAUGCGGUUUUUGCCAUAGCUCGAUAUUCCGCUUCUGCUGAGGAUAAUGAGACAGUCGGUUGCUUUUUUGUCUUCCGUGAAAGUAAAGAAUCCCCUAACUUGAUACAAAACCCUGUUAUGGACCUCCUGCUCAUUGAACAUGUCGCAUAAUCUGCAUCACAAUAUGCAGUCAUCUUCAUAUCACAUUUCUUGGAGAGAAGAAUCCCAAGACCUGGACAUUUCUUCAAAUACUUUACUACUUUGAGUGCUGCAUUCAUGUGGGAUUGCUUUGGAUUGUGCAUGAACUGACUAAGGGUUUGCACAGCAUAACUGAUGUCCAGCCUGGUCAUAGUUAAAUAGAUGAGCUUCCCAACAAGUUUCUAAUAACUCAUUGGAUCUCUUAGUACAUGAUCGGCUUCUUGAGAGAUUCCAGCAUCAUACUAUGCUGUGGUCAAUUUGAUAUUUUGCUCGAUUGGAAUUACAACCGGCUUACAUCCUGACAGCCUAGCUUUUGAUACGAUUUCCAAGCAAAUUUUCUCUGACUAAAAGAUAUUCCUUCAUCUGAGCGAGCAAUUUCUAUUCCAAGAAAAUACUUUGGCGACCCUAGAUCUUUUAUAUGGAAAGUAGAGUGCAAGUAUUUCUUGAAACUUUUGACAACCAUCUCAUCAUUGCCCAUAAUCAAUAUAUCAUCUACAUAUAUCAUCAAGUAUAUGGAUGACGUACCUUUGGUCCAUGUGAAAACAGUAUAAUCAAAUUUGGACUGUUGAAAACCAGCAACUAUUAGGGACUCAGAAAAUUUGGCGUACCAUUGUUUGAAUGCUUGCUUGAGCUCAUAUAAGGAUUUGCGGAGACAACAUACUUUAUUCCCCCCCUGUCUCCGUAAAUCCUGUGGUAUGUCCAUAUAAAUCUCUUCAGCUAAGUCUCCAUGCAGGAAUGCAUUAUGAACAUCCAUAUGAUGUAAUGGCUAGUCCUGGUAAGCUGCUACAGAGAGGAAUGAACAGACCGUAACAUCCUUGGCUACAGGCGAGAAGGUUUCAUGAUAAUCAAAACCUUCCUUCUGUGUGAAACCCUUUGCCACUAAUCAGGCUUUGUACCUUUCAACUGAACCAUCAGCUCUGUAUUUGAUUUUUUAGACCCAUUUGCAUCCAAUUGGUUUGCGAUGUGGAGGUAGACUAACAAGAUCCCAUGUCUAAUUGUCCACCAAUGCCUGCAAUUCUUCUUCCAUUGCCUUUUGCCAUCGCGGAUCAGUACUUGCCUCUUCAUAGCUUGAUGGUUCUCGUUCUUUAGAAAUUUGAGUAAUACAACAUCUAUGCUCCUCGGAUAACCGAUCGAAGGAAACAUAAAAGGAAAUGGGAAAAAGAAUACCUGGUGGAUUUCUCACUCCACAUAUGUAGUCCUUGGUCCAAGUUGGAGGACGUGUGGCUUGUCCUGAUCGUCUUGGCUGGAUGUCUUCAAAAGAGGACUGAGUUGGAAGAUCUACAGGAGAGGAUUCCAAUGUAAUCCUCUCAUUCGGGUCUUGAUCUGUGUCUUCUGCUAAAGGUGUCAUUGCCAUAGUGGGUGUAAGAGCAGUACCUGUAUUAACUGAGGAAGGGAUCAUAACAUAUCUCGGAUCAUUGAUGGAUUCUUCGAUAUGGUGAGUAUGAGAAUAUCUCUGUCUGUCUCUAUUUGAUUCCUUAGUAGAGAAAGGGAAAAAAUCAUCUUGGAAGUGAACAUCUCUACUAACGAAGAAUUCACAUGUAGAAGGAUCAAAUAUUCGGUAUCCCUUUUGUAGGGUAGCAUACCCCAUAAAUAUGCAACGGCGAGCCCGUUGACCCAUUUUAUCCUUAGGUCCUACUAUAGAUGCAUAGCAUAGACACCCAAAAAUCCUCAAAUGAUUAAGAUUUGGCUUCUUCCCAAAGAGAAGUUCAAAAGGGCUUCGACCGAUAAGAAUCUUGGUUGGCAUAUGGUUGAUCAAAUAUGCUGCAAUCAAUACACAUUCUCCCCAAAAAUUAUCUGGAAUGGAACCCUGAAAUUUUAAGGCCUUGGCCACUUCCAACAAAUGACAAUACUUCAUUUCCACUAUUCCCAUUGUCUGUCCUAAUUUUUUGGAUAGUUUUCCCAAACUGAGUUUUCAACAGAGAAAUGAAAGUUUUUAAAUGUGAUACAACUUGACUCUUAGACUGCAUGAGGAAAAUCCAUGUAGCCUUUGAAUGCUCAUCCACAAUGGUAAGAAAGAAACAAGAGCGAUCAUGAUUCAGUGUAUGAUAUGGUCCCCAGACAUCAAUAUGAAGUAAAGAGAAAAUGUCAGCUACACGACUUUUGCUCAAUGGAAAAGGGCUAUGUGAUUGUUUUGCAAGUGGGCAAAUGUGACAUUGAGAAUAGGGAAAUAAGGAACUAUGUCCCAAUCUAGAAUGGAAAAUGAAAUUUUUAUCAAUGGUAGUUAGAUUACACAAUGAUUGUUUAUUACAAUGAAAAAAAUCCAGAUUCUUGGGCGAACUUCUCUAGAAAAAUAGUCCUUCUGAUAGAUUACCCAAUCCCAUCAGUUUUCCAGUCGAAAGGGUCUGAAAUUGACAACUAUCAACAUUGAAGGAAACUUGACAUGAAUUCUCCUUACAGGCUCUAGUCACAAAUAUAAGAUUGAACUAGAACUCAGGAAUAUAUAGGACAUUGGGGAAAAUAAUUUCAGGACUAAGAUCAACUGUCCCAGUUAUAGUGACAUGAGCAAUAUUCCCAUUUGGUAAUUGUACUACAAUAGGACUAUCUAGUUCUUCAUUAACAGUGGUAAACAAUGCCUUCUCACAUGCAAUAUGAUCACUGGCUCCAAAAUCAACAAUCUAAGUAUUUCUCGAUAUAUUGUUAAUUUGACAAUGAGAAAUAUCUGUAAAGCUCCCCCCCCCUUUUUUUGAACAUCCAAUUUGUGCAGUGCCUGCAUCAAUUGCUCAUAUUCACCAUGAGCAAUGGGUUGAUUUGUACUUGCCUAUCCUGUAAGUUGAUAUGCCGCUGCUGAUAUUUCUUUGCCCUUUUUUUUUCUCCAGGUCUACCAUGCAACUUCCAGCAAUUUUUUACAGUGUGGUGGGGUUGUCUGCAGAAUUCACAAUAUAAAUUUCCCUUAUUUUUUGAAUUUGGCCCAUAGGAAUUAGGCCUAAAAGAAUUGGGCCCAUACGGGUUUGGCCCGUGAUUUUUUGAAAAUUCCCACCGUUGGAUCCUUGAAUGAGGGAAUCAUCUCCACUAUCUAGAUCUCCAUGUGUUCGCGCCCCUCUCUAACCAUCCGAUCGCUAUGUGUGAUCGUGACCAUCCGUAACUGGGCCUUUAAAAGGCUUAUGUUCUGCGAACCCUAGGUUCGCAUCGCAUUUCCUGCCUAGGGUUCGUGAGCCUCUCUCCAUUCUUGUGGCGAGUGCUAGGGUUUCCGCCCCUUUCAUUUCCGUCAAAGCAAGCCUUUGGCUUUCUUCUUGCAUGGCGAGUUGGAAUAUAUGGCCGAUCGAGGGUGCAGGCUCCAUCACGAGUAUCUGUGACCUGAAAUGGAGGUAAGAAUCAUUAAGCAUAAGGAGGAAUCGCGUCGCCUUCUCUAUGUCUUUUAUCGCCUUGUACUGUUGAAGGGUGGUUUUGGGUCCGUUAAGUUUCUCCUCCACUGCUUCUAGCUCAUUCCAGAGAGCUGACAGCUUGUUGAAGCACGUUAUCACGGACGUAUUUCCUUGCUUCAGUUCGGAGAGAGCCUGAUGUAGCGAGAAGAUUCUCGCCUGAUCCAGUUUCUCGUAUAUUUCUCUUAUAAUUUCCCAAUUUUUUUUUUGAAUCUUCUGUUGGGGGCAAUCCAGCAGCUAUUUCUAGGUUGAUGCAAUUGCUUAUCCACGUCCCGACCAACUGGUUGCACUUUUUCCAUUAUCGCCCUAAUUUGUCAUCAGUUGGGACCAGGAUGGUUCUGUCGAUAAAUCCCUCUUUAUCCUUUGUUACGAGGGCUCGACGGAAUUCACAUGCCCAAUUUGAGACAUACAGCGCGUCGGCAUUGGAGACAUACAACGCGUCGUCGGGUUCUAGGCGAUCCAUGGCGGCCGCAAAUGGAAAAGUUAUGAACCAUGUUGGGAAUCCUAGAUUUGUAGACUAACCUGCACUCGAAUUUUCUGAUCCGCCAGUCUGCUUAGGGCCGAUGGCUGUGCCUGCCCCAGUGUUGGUUGGUAGGCCUCUGUUGACACCUAAAUUAUUUGUUUUUAAUUAGGUUGCUUUUAUUUUUAUUUUGUCUUUUAAAAAAAUCAGUAAAAACAAACAAAGAAAAAAGAAAAAACAGAAAUAGCAGCUCAUUGGGGCUGGGCGCAAGGCCCAGCCCCCUUUUUCCCUUUCGCAUGGGCCCCUAGGCUCAUUUUCUUUCUUUUUUCUCGGCCCGGCCCGCACAACCUAACCCUUCCCCCCCUCCUUCUUCCUUCUCCUUCCUUCUUCUUCUCUAUGCCUCUGUGCAUCACGCGCGGCGGCUGGCGACGCGCUCAAGGGCAAACUACGGUAAAGAGGAAUGGAGGUAGGCCACCGGAGGAGAGGACGACGCGCAUGCACCUUCAAUGCGCGCCUUUAAUGCUGAGAUGAGACACUGGUUCGGCUGCGGGCGUCCGUUCGGCGUGCGAAGACCGGCGGUCGAAGCCCCGUCGACCGGCCGCCCCCUCGCCUAUAAAUAGCAAGGCACCACCUCCGUCGAAGGACACGAGCGAGCUCUGAGAUCUUCCCACUGAGAGACUUCGGGGGAGGAAUCAAAGAGCAAGCGAGAGAGAACUCGGGUCGUGAGCUCGGUUGACCUCCCACUAAGAGACUUCGGGGGAGGCCGCUGGCGAGUGAGUCCGAGGAGGUCAGAUCCGGCCAGUGGAGGCUCGGAUCUGGCCGAAGUGAGAGAGAAGAGGGUCGAGCUGAGAAGCGAGGGGGAGAGAUCUGGUCGAGUAGGGAGGGUUUGGUUCCAAGGGAGUCCCAGAUCCGGAGGAGAGGAAGCCGGAGAAGAGGAAGGAUCGUCUGGAUGCCAGAUCUAGAAAUGGGGAAAUGUUUGCGAGAUCAGCUCCCGUCGCCAUCGUCGUCUGCCCCCACACCAUCGCCAUUCGAUCGUUGCCGCUCGCCAUCCGCCCCAGCUCCACUGCAGCCCCGACGCCGUCACCUCAAUCGAGCCCAGAUGACGGCGCCUCAAAGCUGUGCUACCACUAUCGCCUUGACUAAACCGAGACACCGUCUCUUCAAGCUGCGCCGCUGCGCUGUGUCGGCGCCGAGGACAGGUGACGACGAACCCUACUAAUGCCAUCCUCGUCGCUGCUUCCCCUCUCGAAACCUAACCGCCGUCGUCCGCCACAUCGCCACCGUCGUCAGGCGCCGUGCCGCUGUCCGAUGACGCCCCCAGUCCCUCCACCUGCGCCACAAACGGAUGGAGAAGCCAGCGAUCUCGCGUCGAGUCGAGCCGGGUCGGGCGUGAUUCGCGAAACUGGGUACGGUUUCGCGAGACCUAGGUGGCCGGAAACCGGGUCGGGCGCACCUCACCCGGGUAGGGUUUCGGCUAGCUUGGGCCAUUCGUGCAUGGGCCGGGCCCUUUUUAGAAAAUAGAUCUAUUUGGGCCGGGCUUGUUAAAAAAAAAGGGCAAAAAAAAACGAGUCAGGCCUGCAACGCAGGCCCGUCUGCGUUUUGGGUCGUCAACCCGGGUCGGACCCAACUCGCAGAUCCGACCCGGGUCAGUUUUUAUAUUAUUUUAAUAUAAAAUAAUAUUUUAAAUAAAUAAAUAAAUAAUUUUCAAAAAAAAUCAAAAAAGUGUUUUAUUUUCGAAAAAUAUUUAAAAAACAGUAAAAAAUAUUCUAUUUUCCAAAAAAUAAAAAAAAAUCAAAAAUUUUCCAAAAAAAAUGCCAAAAAUUCAUGAAAAAGCCAAAAAAAUUCAGAAAAAGCCAAAAAGACUUGUAUUUUUCCAAAAAUACCAAAAAAAUCCCAAAAAAUCCCUUUUAUGUCCAAAAAAUUAGAAAAAUACUCAAAAAAUGUUUUUCCUCCCAAAAAUGCAUGGAAAAUCCCUAAAAAAUCCAAAAAGCCUUAGGGUUUAAACAAGAUUAGGUACCGAAAGGGCAUUAGUGAUUAACUAGUGUAAUCAAGUCCCCGAUCUUAAUUUCUCUGGUUGCACAGGAGUGAGUAUUUCUCCCGAUACUUCACUUGGGUUUCUAAUCAACCGACCCCAAAUCGAUUAGUGGCGACUCCAUUUUAAAAAUUGAUUUACAGGUUAAAAACUCAAACUAUUAAAGUCGUGAAUUGGUGGACUUGGGAGAGUCCGGGCAUAAUUAAAUUUCAGCCGAGCCAUUAGCCUCCUUAGGCGCCCGUACCCAAUUGCGGACGCCGAAAAAAGAGAGGUCGCGACAGCCUCCAUCGGUCUACACACUCUGGUAGCUCGACUGUGAUGUACCUGGGUUUAAUCCCUAGAUCCAUGGGUAUGACAUCCAUUGAUAAGGAUAGCCCGAGGAGGGCAACCCUGGAUUGAACUGAGCCAGAAUUUGUUGCCACUGCGUGUGUUGUAAUGGUGUUUGGCCUUGACUGGGCUACUGUUCAACCAUGGAGGUGAUGAUGGAUGAGCCUGAAUUGGGCGAAGCAUGUGGUGUCGGAUUCGUUCCCGAUUGAUCUUCAGAGGCUGAGAUAAGUGCUUGUGGGUUUGUCAUGAUGAAAAUUGCAACAAAAAAUUCUAUUUUGUAGAUUGAGUUUUUUUUUUGCAGAUUGCAAAUUCCUCCCGGAGGCUGCUCUGUAUUGCGAGUGUUGAAGCAACAUCGACAGAAAAGAAAGCGGAAGGCAAUUCGAACAGGAAUGCGGAAGCUAGGUCAGAAUCAAAAAGAGCUCUGAUACCAUGAAAGAAGAUGAAGACGAAGUAGUCGAGUGAAGAAUUUUCUAUGUAUUCUGUAUAUUCCUCAUUGUACAAUGUUCACAUUGUUUAUAAUACAAAGUGUGUAUAAGAAAAGCAAGUAAAUAUUUUACAAUAUUUGGAUCUGAUUAGAUCCGAUACUAAAGGAACGUGAUUAAUCCUUGAAUGAUAUUGUGAAUCUUUGCGUGUAUCUUCCAACAACGCGUACUAAUCUACUUGUGAAAGAGAUGGUAAAACCAUUACUAACUAAUUGAUGAGCCCAAUUAUCAAAUUUUGAAAAUAACAAUUGGUAACGGCUUUUAAUUUACUAUAAGAAUGACAUUCUUUUCUGAAUCACAAAAAAUCAAAUAAUAAAUUAUUAUAAAUUAUUGCAGAGUUUACUCUUACAAAAAUUUGUGGCUCACACAAUAAGUUGUUUUCACAAUAAACCACAAACUAUUAUGUUAGUAAAGCCAGAUUUAAAAGCACUUGUUAAUCUACUAUUGGAUACUAUUGGUCGAGAAAGAUCUAUAGUUGGAUACUAGAUUUGAGAAAAAUAAAAUCACUAUUUUUCUGGUAAGUUACAAAUAGUUGAUUGGACAAGUAAGUUGCCAACCAAUUUUACUUACUAAUGAUAUUAUAGGUUCUAACAUUACAAACUUUCAGAUGAUAACAUAUUUCUUUGAGAUGGAAAGUUGAGGCAACUUGUUUGUAAUGUUCAAAGUUAGGUGGAAGAUCCUUUGUCCAAUGUGAUAAAUUUCUUAGUGUUUCGAUAAAUCUAACCAAUGGAUUAAAUUUACGCAAUUGCAAAAGUUUUAGGAAUCAAUUAGCCAAAAUAUAAGUUUAAAACUGAAUCGGCGCAAUUACAAUAGGUUUAUGACUUAUUUGAUAAUUUUCUCCGCUUCUAGGAAAGUCUAAAUUUAUUCAAAGUAUAGCAUAUAUAAUGGUACCUAUAGAGUCGCUUGAAUCCAUAGCAACCGACAGUUAUUCAAAGGUGGUUAUUCAUGAUGUUUUAAUGUGGUUGAAGUAGAUGACCUAGAGAGUAGUUGCAAAUGUUGAGUUAAAUGCUAUGGGUGCAGCAUGGCAGUUUCGAGUUUGGAGAUAUGAAGAGUGAAGAGUGAAGACUGAUGGACGGUUGUGAGUUUGGAGAUAAGGAGUAACAUCUAGAAAGCUCCAAGGUUCCUCCACAUGUAGUUCAAAUUUUUUUUUAAGUGCCCACUUUCUACAUAUAACGAAUUAUCUAAACUAUAAUGGUGCAAUCUUGUUGGGGACAACAAAUGUUAGGGUAUGUUUCAAAGAAAUCAGUUGAUUUGGCUUUCAUUAUAUGUGCUACGAGUUAGAAAAUGCUGUGGAGAGACAACUGAUUUCAACGACAACUAUGGCUAUGACAACAGAAGGAGCUGAAGUGGUAGCGUGGUCUAAUGGCUUGAUUGGUGACGAUGGCUUGGAAAUCCGGCUGUUUUGGUGUUCAUCUCAAGAGAGGAUUUGACAUCAAAAAAGUUUCUCGCCGCAAAGAUUUUUGCAGACAUGCGAACCGAGUUCAAUCGUUUGGAGUAGUUUGAGCCCAACGCAGUUUUGAUGGACAUCUAAAGUAGUUAAGCAUCUACUGAGGCAUUGGGAGGGUCUGCAUGGAUGACGAGCACCGUGACCUGCCCAUGAACAUUGAGCCAAGCGAAAAAUUGUUAAACUUGGGGCUCAAAAUUCUAGUCAAAUUUGGAGUUGGGGUCAAGUCUAGAGAUCGAUAGGUCCGGGAUUUUUUUGGACCAAUGGCCGAGGCUUCGAACCAGGAGCUUCCCUAUAAUCUGUUGCUACUUCGCUCAGGGCGGGCACCUGACUAGAGGCCGACAUAAACCUUUUGGCUGUCCGGUGUUUAGCCUAUUUUAAUAACACACACUUUUGUGAGUUUCUGGAAUGACUUAUUUUUUAGGGAUUGUAAGAUAACCUUGAUAGAUUUAUUUUGAGAUUGAUUUUGGGUAGGGAAACAUGUGAGUGAUUGUAAUUAUGUAGUCUCUGUUCAUAAUGGAUUUCUCUUCUAUCGACUCUUUUCAAGGAGUAGGUACCAACAUUCGGGUUGAAUGACAUAAAUUUCUAUAACUCUUUCUCAUAAUUCGUUGAUUUUCCCGAUAAUUUUUUCUUUUCAUAUUAGAUUUGAAUCGUAGAAUCCAUUAGCUUGAAUAGUUAUUUCACAAUGCAUCCACAUCCAUUUUGCAUCACACACAUGCUGUGUUUGUAAAAAAAAAAAAAAAAAAAAUCUAGUUUAUAUAAAUAGGAUAUAUAAGAUUUCAAUCUCUUAGACCCUAUUGAUGAACAAUGCUUUCAGCAUCAAAUCAUCUAAUAAAAUAAAAUAAAUUAGUCUUUGAUCGGUAUUCGUUGUUAGCAAAUAAUAAUAAAUAGAAAAAAAAGCAUACUUUGCAGAGAAAAUUGUUAUUUGAAUCUUAAAUUUAUUAUACAUAUUUAAUUCAAUUUUAAACAUUUUAGUUGAUUCACUAUAGGUCUAAACUUUUACAUGACAUUCUAAUAUAGUCCUCAUGAUUAUUUCUCACCUCAAAUUAUUGACAUGGCGGUCCAAUCAUACGUUGGAUAUUCAUUCGAGUAUCUGGAGCAUGAAAUAGAUCACAAAAUAUUUACUCUUGUCAAACGCAAACAACUUUACUCGAAAUGAUAUUGUUUUGCUUAAUUUUCUUAGUUUCCUCAUUUUAUCCUUUUUUUUAUUCUUUCUUUUUUCCUUUUCUGUCUACUGUUUAUUUUUUUUGGCCUGGUAAAGCGUGAACGCUUAUGACAACAAUAUUUUGAGCAUGAUCAUCCAUAUCCGUAAGCCACAAAUCAAAUCACUCCAAACAACUCCUCAACCAUCUCGGUUGACGAAUUUCUAACACUAUGAGCCUACAGAAAGUGGGCUCAUUUGAAUUCUUUUCGGCUUCUACCAUCUGAAUUCCCUCUCAUAUGAGACGGAAAUGAUUGAAACCCCAAAAAAUUCGGUCAGCUUCCCAUUAAUUUGAUAUAUGCUAAAGCAUGAAUGAAUAAUCGCCUACAAAUUAAGAAGCAGUAGAAGCGGCUUCAAUCUCCCCGGCCUUCAAUGGCCACUGAGCUCGAAGCUCGCCAAGAUGUGGAGGCUCGGCCCAUGGCUGUCGAGCUCAUCGAGCCAUGGCGACACCUUGUAGAGUUGAGCAACAAAGGCGUCUGCAGAAUUCAAUUGUGAAAUCAAGGUAGAAGGACGUGCCAGACCUGGCUAAAGGAGGAGGUGAAAAAAAAGAGAGAGAAUAAAAUAUAAGUUCUGCAUAAAGACAUCGUUUUGAGUAAAUUUGUUGAAUGUGCCACUUAAGAUGGUAUGUGAUGGCUAGACCACCACAUUAACAAUUUCAGACGGGCUUUCAUUAGGAAGACUUGAUUGGAGUUUCACUCAAAGGUUUCGGACAACACUGAAUCAACUGCAAAAUAUACAAUAAAUCUACGAUGGAAAUGACAGUAUCUUCCUAGCUGCCCACGAUUGCCUAAAAAAUUUCCAGAGAUACUACGGCUCUCUUAAGUCAUAAACCAGCUGACUUAAGAUUAAGAGAGCUGUACCUUUCAACCAAAAACAGAAUGCGUCAAGCAUAAAGAGUCGAAUCUUCUCAGCGACCGUCUUGAUUGACCCGCAACUUCACUUUUUCACCAUUUUGGUCCAAUCAGGAGCAUGUGCACGACCCUUAUCUGAGAUUACGGUCACCAGCUGGACGUCACCACUUUGCCAUUUUAAGACUAUCUAAGUUUUUUUUUUUUUUUUGGUCGAAAGAAAACGUAUAUUAGAUCAUAAGGAAGUACAAGCAGAGACCAAAGCAUCAGAAAAUAUAAUGUCCUGGAAAAUAAAGGGAGGGAAAAUAAGCCAGUUGCUAACUGGGCCUUGAUCCUGGUGGGCUUUAGCAGCCUAGUCGGCUGUUAGGUUAGCUUCUCGGCGAACAUGGUGGAGAGAGAGAUUAGGGCAUUGAGAAAACAAAUCGCGUAGAAUCGCGAAAAGAUGGCGCUCCGUCCAUGGCGUCUGCUGCUUCUGCUGAACCAUUUCCACCAACACCAAACAGUCAGACUCGAUCACUAUGUGUUGAAGAUGAAGCCCCUGUUGAAUCAGACGUUGAAGAGCUGAUAUGAGAGCAUAGACUUCAGCUUGGAAGGCCAAUCGGGCGGGAACAGUUCGGGUAGUCACAUCGGUAAGAACUCCUUUGCUAUCUCUGUAGAUACACGCAAUGGAUCCAGUGUCCGACCCCAUUCGAAAAGCCCCAUCGACAUUACAUUUAAGGUAUUCCUUUUCAGGCGGUAUCCAUCUCCGAUCUGGACUGACCAGGUUCUUGUUAAUCCUCUGUACAGAUGGGUGUAAAAGCUUUAUGAUUCAGCUUUGGGCAAGGGCGUUGUCCACGGCUCGGAGUGGAUCCAGUUGGUUCUGCCUGAAGAUUGCGUUAUUUCUUUGACGCCAUAUCUCCCACAGCACAUGGGCGAUCACUUUGAAAUCUGGGGACGCCCUUGGGAGAGAAGCUCGGGUUGCAACCCAGGCAUCAAAACGGCGAACCGAGGUAGGUGAAAUUGUGACCCUUAUGUCUUCAUGUUUCCAGAUGUCUUGCGUCCAAGGGCAGAAGAAGAAAAGAUGUUCAAGUGUUUUUGGAAUGUUGUGGUUACAAAGUGUACAAUAGGGAUUAGGGGAAAUAUGGCGUUGAUAAAGGUUGUCUUUUGUAGCAAUGACGUUUUUACAGGCUAACUAGAGAAACACCCGAAGCUUAGGAGUAGUUCGCAUAUACCAUAUUUUCCUCCAUAACUGAGUAGGGGUGGUAUAAGAGGAUGAGGCUUCAUUAAGUGGGGUCUGUUGAUUCGAAGAGAGAUAAUGAUAACAGCUUUUCAUUGUGUAGGUACCUGAUGAAGUAGCAGUCCACACCAAUUGAUCUUGCAGGAGCGAAGGGUUGAGAGGGGUAUUGAAAAUUGCUUCACUGACCCGAGUGUCAAAGAAGGUGGUAACAAUAGAGGUCUUCCAUUCUGAUGUUGGGAAGUCUAUUAUAUCAGCAACUACUUUAGGUUCUCCCUCCUGAGGUAAUCCUCCUAUCUGACCAAUUGGUAGCCAUAUAUCAUCUCUAAUUUGAAUCUGUGAUCCAUCCCCAACUAGCCAACGAAGUUUAGGAGUAAUAGUAUCUCGUCCUUUUAACAUACUCUGCCACCCCCUGAAGGUCGAUAGCCUGAUUGGGCAGUUUGGAAGGAGGAAUACCUGAAAUAUAAUCCCUUAAAAAGCUGACUCCAGAUAGCAUUAGGUUGCUGGAAAAGACACCAAGCUUGCUUACCAAGCAUUGCUUUAUUGAAAUUAAUUAAAUCUCUGAAUCCCAUCCCCCUGCUGCUUUUGCUUGCUUCAAUUCUGACCAAUUUUUCCAAUGAAUUCCAGUUUGACUGUUGUGUUUACUCCACCAGAAUGCUGAUAUCUUCCUCUCUAUUAAUCUGCAGAGUGACAAGGGAAGCUUAAAAAUGGACAUGGCGUACUGAGGUAAGGCCUGGAUUACUGAUUUUAGUAGGAUUUCCUUGCCACUUUUUGAUAAGAAUUUUUCCUUCCAACCAGCUAAUUUAGCAUUGACUCUUGCCAGGAUCCAGGAGAACAUCUCAUGUUUGGAACGACCCCAAUCCGAGGGAAUGCCCAGGUACUUGCCAUAUUUACUGACAACAGGUAUCCUGAGUUCAUUUGCUAGAUUGUUUUGUAAGGUGAUAGGGCAGUGUUUGCUGAAAAAUAAACCUGAUUUGUUCCUAUUAAUGAGUUGGCCCGUAGCUAGGCAAUAUUGGUUUAGGAGAUUGUCAAGAUUUUGGCAUUCAUAGACCGUGGCUUUUAGGAAAAAUACUAAGUCGUCAGCAAAAAACAAGUGGGAUAACUUAGGACAGGCUCUAUUGAAUUAAAUCCCCUGUAGGUGGCCCAUUUCCAUAGCUUGGCUGAUUGUAGAUGAUAGAGCAUUAGCAAGUAGAAUGAAAAUAUAAGGGGAUAUGGGGUCACCUUGGCGAAGCCCUCUAGUAGGCUGAAAGUAAGGGAGCUGUUCCCCAUUAAAACGAAUACUAAAGGAAGCCGUAGUAAUGCAAGCCAUAACCAUAGUAACCCAGGUGUCAUUAAAGCCCAACUUAUGCAAAUAGGCUUCCAAGAAAUCCCAUUCAACCCUAUCAUAAGCCUUCUGCAUAUCUGUUUUUAAAAUAAGGUUGAAUCUUUUAUUGCAUGAUCUCACUUUAAACUGAUGAAGCACUUCUUGCACCACCAUGAUAUUGUCUUGAAUCUACCUGUCACUAACAAAUUGUGCCUGUUCUCUUGAUAUCAAACGAGAUAGCCAAGGCUUAAGUCUAUUGGCCAUUACUUUCGAAAUAAUCUUAUAAGCGAAAUUGCAAAGACUGAUGGGUCGGUACUGAUCAAUGCUUCUGGAUGGUGAACUUUAGGAACUAGGGCAAUUAUUGUUCUGUUUAGUGUAUGAGGCAUACAACCUGUUAUGAAGAAAUCUUGUAUUGUUUUGAUGAUAGUUGUUUUGAUGAUGUUCUAGUGUUGCUGAUAAAAGAGGCCAUUAAGGCCAUCAGGCCCAGGAGCCUUAGAAGCACCCAGCUGGAAAGUUGCCUGGUAAAGCUCCUCCUCUGUUACCCUACUCAUCAAGUGUUGAUUCAUUUCAGGUGUUACCACAGCUGAAUAUUGCGCUAAGAAUGGACAAAAGUCCCGGUAUCCGGCAGAGUGGUAUAAUUGAGAAAAGAAGUCCCUUGUCAUAGCCUUGAGCUGUUCUGGUUCCCUGAUCCAAUUCUGGUGAGCAUCUCUAAGCAUAACAAUUAUGUUUCGUUGUCUCCUUUGCAUGGUGCAGGCAUGAAAGAAUUUUGAAUUUUUAUCUCCCCAUUUCAACCAUUGAAUACGUGAACGCAUAGCCCAGAACUGCUCCUCUUGCUUCCAGAGUUUCUGAAUUUCACUUCUAAUAGCAGUGGCUUGCUCUUUAUCUCCAGUCCGACAAUAUUUUCUGUUGAUAAUUGUCCGCAGUUGAUCUUGCAAUUGAGAGAUGCGUUGAUGGCCAUUGCUGAACCAAGCCUUGCUCCAUCUAGUUAACUUAGCAGCAACUGCCUGCAAUUUGGAGGCUAAAGAGGUAUUGCUUCUCUCCCAUGCUUGUUUUAUUACCCCUUGACAUUCUUGAUCUUGACUCUAGAAAGCUUCGUAUUGAAAAGUCUUGGCUUGCUUGAUAGGUGGUGGACAAGUGUGCAGCAGUAUAGGACAAUGAUCCGAACCGAUAAGUGGUAGGGCAAACACUUCUGCAAAGGGGUAAGAUAUCAUCCAUUCUGUGGAACAAAAGACUCGAUCUAACUUCUCCUUCACUAGAGCAUCCCCUGCUCAAUUAUUUGACCAGGUAAAUUCACACCCUUUAUUGUGCAGUUCAAGUAAAGCACAGUCAUUGAUUACAUUUCUAAAGGAUGUCAUUCGUGAGGUGAUGGUUGGUCUUUUUCCCAUUUUCUCCCAGGGGGAAAGGAAAUCAUUGAAAUCACCUACACACAGCCAAUGUAAAUGAUUUACAGCAGAUAUUGUCCUAAUUGUAUCCCAAAAUUCCUGGCGUUGCUGAUAAGUUGAAGGGGCGUGCAGGCACGUUAUAUGCAUCGAAGUAGCUGUCGAAGGGUCAAGGACAAUGAGAUCAACAUAAUGAUCAUCCGACUUUACAAUAGUAACAUCAAAUAGGUCAGUCUAGAACACAGCAAGUCCUCCCGAGAAGCCAACUGGAUCCUUCAAAGAAGAGUGAGGGAACUGAAAUCUACGCUGUAAGCUAUUCACAACUUUCUGAACAUUCUUCGUUUCCAUUAAAAAGACAAUUUCGGGCUUUUCAGAGGCUAACAACGCCUUCGGUGCUUGAAUUGUCAGGGGAUUGCCCAACCCCUGACAAUUCCAACUCAGGAGUUUCAUUUGGAAGAUGGUGGUUGUUGAGGGCCAGCCGCCAAAGCCCUGGAGCAGGGUUGUCUGCCUCAAUCAUAGGAGUAUCCAUUAGGUGGGUUUCAUCGAUGUCGGCAGAGUAAGUAAGCCGAGUGUCAUAAGGUGAGUAUCUUUUGGUUUUCUUACUUGAUCCCCCAAUUGGCAUUGGGCGAGGGAUUUUGGGUUUCUUCUGUUGAGGGAUGUCCAAUGGAGGAAGUUGAAUACUCUUCAUCUUCGACUGUGCAGGGACCAUAUCACUAGUAAUUGUGUUUGGAUUGACAGAGUUCAGAGGCUUGGAGGUCCCUGGUGGUAGAACAGGGGUCGAAGCAGGGGCCUAUGAGGCAGGAAUAAGAGGGAGAGCUGGGAUAAUGGCCUGCAUUGCUGGAGGGGUUUCAGGUACCGUCUCUUCCAUCUGCUCUAUAGGUGUUGUAGGAUGAUAAAAAAGCAUCCCAAUAAGGGCUAGAUUGUUUAACCUCUGCUCUUAGCCACGGGCCAUAGACCAUCGUCUCACGGCCUUCAAAUUGUGCUUCGUCAUAAGGGUACUCUGAACAUGAAGCUGCAUAAUGACCAAGCUUUCCACAAGAAUAACAGUAGUGGGAUAGUCUCGCAUAACGAAAAAUCUAGCCAUAGGGAUUUUCCGUCAAUUCUUAUAAGCUUUCUUGACCUCAAAGGUGCUUUCAGGUCUAAUUCUAUUCUGACUCUCCCAGAUGUAUCAGGUUUCACUUCCAGAACUCGACCAACCUGUUGUAUAGCUCUACGCAGAAUCGAAGGAGUAGUCCACUCCAAAGGUAAGCCUAUGACAUGCACCCAGAAUACGCACUUAGAAAAGUUGUAACAAUGUAAAGGAGUUUGGGGUUGCCAUGGACGUAGAUCGACUAAAUGACCUGAGAAUAACCAAGGACUACCCUUUAAUAUGCGUCUUUUUUCCAUUUCAGAUCGAAAUUUAAUGAUAUACAGCCCGCUAUCAGCAGGAGAAAUCUCUACAUGAUCAACUCGCCACGCUUUCUUCAUCACAACUUGAAAAGCAGGUAAAUUGACAGUAGGAUUCGUGAAGAUAUUACCAACCAGUAUAAGGCGACAGUCCUUCAGUUUUUCCGAGGCAGGUAUGUCAUCCCAAACCUCCAAUUCCUGUUCCGAACACAAACGUCCCAGACGGUGACACAACGAAGCAAUGCGGGAGGUAUUGUCGCUUUCAUCCAUUGCCAAAAAUUACAGGAAUUCACUAGAAUGAGUUAAUUGACAGGAACAGAGUACAUAAAUCAAGCUUUCGGUGGUUGCAUGUGUCGGAUCUCCUACAUGCAGACCGGAAAUUGCGAAUUUAGGUGAAAUUCAGAAGACCAGCAGCAAACAGAUGGGGUGGGGAGAAAAGAAAGAAGGCGAUGACUGGAGAGGAUGAGAGAAACUGCGCAUGCAAAGGUAAGCACAAAGGCAGGGAGCAUUUAUGGUGGGAUUAGAAGUAAGCGAAGGUUAUGCAAAUAGAAGGUGAAGUGCAGAAGAAGAACUGGGAAGACUGAAGACAUCAGGGAAGACUCGAGCAUGACGCGAGGAGAAACUCUAACAUAAACGAGAGAAAUAUUGAAGCGUCCUCAUUUAUUUUGUUAAGACUGUCUAAGUUUGAUCAGAAGAAACUUCGCAGAACCUUCACCACGACUCCCGAUACGUCAACCAAAGGGCAUUAUCUCCAGAGUCGUCCCCUCUACUUUUGUGGUCCAUCUUCGUCAUGGCCGGUGCUUAAAUUGAAAGUUCAUAGCCUUAGGAAUAGUUUGAGUUCUUGCUUAUCCCUCCAUUAGAUGAAGAAAUUCAUGGCGAGAAAUUGGAUCGAUUUUGCGAGUGCCAACGCUUGUGGUGAUGAUGGAUCGGGUCUUUUGCUUAAGGCUGGAGUGAACUUUGUGGCGUGCUUGAUGCUCGCGUCUGUCGUAGUGUUUUCCUGUGCCGACAAAGGUGACCACUCGUCCCGCUCUAGCCAUAAAAAGAAAAAGAGAGAUGCCAAAGGCAGAGGUGGAGACGGAGGCAAUGACGGUGGCGGAGACAGAGGCGAUGACAACGGUGGCGGCGGCGGCGGAGGCGGCCAUCAUGGAGGUCACCGCGGAGGUCAUUAGGGAGGCCACCACCACAGAGGUCACCAUGGAGGCCACCCCCAUGUCCACCAUCAUGCAGCCCACCACGUAGGUCACCACAGAGGCGGAGGGAGCGACAGCUACAUCGGCUGCUGUGGUUGCGGUGGGGGCAAGGGCGGUUGCGGCGGGGGCGGCGGUGGAGGUUCCGACGGGGGGUGGUUGUGGUGGGGGCGGGGGUGGGGGCGGCGGCUGCUAAUUUGAAGUCAGUCUUCUAUUUUUUUUUUUCUAUGUUGGUGUUGGUAAAGGUACUAUGAUUUGCUAGCUAAAUAAGUAGUUGAUGGAUAGAAGAGUUGUAGAGCAAGGUUCACAGAGACUAGCUUGCAAAGCAUAUGCUUCAAUCAACACAUGGCAUUAAAAACCAUUUCUUGUAGAGAGGCAAACUAGUACCGGUGAAUUAUGAACACACUUGAAAUUAUUUCCAUGUUUGUACUCUCAACCUUAGUGGUAUAAUCUACUAAUUAAUUUGAAAGGCCUGCUUGUAAAAUUUUCAAGGCACUUGAUAAUCUACUAUUGGAUGCAAGAGUAGUGAAAUCGAAUAUUUCAUCGGUGAAGUUAAAAAAACUUGCUACGCCUACUAGUAAAAUAGUAAAGUACUUGAUAAUCUGCUUUCGAUUACUAGAUUUGAGAAUGGUAACAUGGAAUUUUCAUUGAUAAAUUACUCAUUAAUCAACGAGGCCUACUCCUCGAUAUAUGGGGAUAAAAUCAAACUACUCGAUGGGCUUAAUUAUAAAAUUUCAUAGCAUAGGGUAGUAUACUACUCGAUACUAUAUUUAAGGAUGAUAAAAUUGUUAUUUGAUUGAUAAAUUACUAAUUAAUUGAUGGGGUCCAAUUGUAAUAUUUUAAAACGCGUCGUAACCUACUUGUGAAAGAGGUGGUAAAAGCCAUUAUAUUGUUGUUAAUUUACUAACUAAUAUACAAGCCCAAUUGGCAAAUCUUAAAGCACUUGUUGAUCGACAAUUGGAUACUAAUGGCAGAAAAAAAAAUCGAUAACUGGACACUACAUUGCAGAAUAAUAAUUUUAUUAUUUUGUUAAUAAGUUACUGAUAGUUGACCGGGAAAAAAGAAGUUGCCAAUCAAUUUUACUUAUGAAUAUAUUACAGGUACUUGGAAUUUACCUUCAUGGAGCCAGUUCUCUUUUUAGCAAACGCAGUAGUAAAGUCAUCCAUCGAACAUCGACAUACCACAAUUUUUCCUGCUUUUAAUGACGUGAGAUUUUGCUCUUGUGGGAUUGCUGCAUGAAGAGUCUAUCGGUGACCUGCUCGCAUUAGUCAAAUUAUCCACUAAUCCAGAUGAAGUUUUAUGUAAAGCUGAUUCAAACUUCAUCACCUAUAAAUUUGAUCAUCCCACUGAAAGAAGACAUACGACCUCGAAAUAAAGUUCCUCGUGAUAUAAUAUGUGGACAAUAUAAAUUGAUGAAGAUGAAAUCAUGAGAGCAACGCCCAUAAUGAAAAUCAUUCUUUUAAAUGGUCUUCUUCAUUUGUUGGAAUGUUCACCAAGGAUUAUUCAUCCGAUUUUGCGUCCAGCAAGGUUACUUUUGAUGAGUUUGUUUCGUUUUAAAAAAGAAGAAAUAAUGGAUCGAUUGCAAAGGGAUCCAGACAGUAUUCAAAAUUAGGUGGUGCUUCUAGGAGAGUCUAAAUUUGUUCAAAGUUAGGGCUGUCAAAGGGGUGGGUCGGGUCAGGUCAAGUCGGGUCAAGUCGAAAAUUGUCCGACCCAUAUUGAUCCAUUUAACCCGUUUUGACCCAUUUUCACGCAAUGUAAAUUUCAUGACCCAUACCCGACCCAACCCGUAUUAUUGAAACGCGUUUAUAUUUAACUCAAUUUAGUUACUUAAAUAAAAAAUUUACACCAAAUUUAAAAAGUAAAUAAAAUAAAAAAUGUGAAAAACCUUUAAAUUGAAAUAAUUUUGAAGAGCUCUUGAUAAGAAAAAGUUUGAUGAGCUAAUAAUUGACAUGAAAAUAAUAUUAACAAAUCUUCUUGAAUGCGAGAAUGCAUAGCUUCUUAAUUGUAAUUGUUUUUAAUUUUGGUUGAUUUCUUGAUUUUAGUUCACCAAGUCAAAAAUUACAUUAUGAUGUUUAGAAUUUCUAUUUAUCAAUCUAAACAACAUCGAGCUUCAUCUAAAAGUACUUCUCCAAUAUGUAUAUGGAUUUCUAUCUACCAAGUAUCAUUAAAAAAUUUGAUUUUUUUUUAUUAUUUUAAAGUUUUUUCAAAUUAUUAUUAUUGUUAUUUAUUUUAUUUUCUUCCUUUCUUCUUUUCUCUUUUCUUUCUUUUUCCUCCUCCUUCUUCUCCCUUGUUACUCCGUCAACGGUAAUCAGCCAAGCCACAGUCCGGCAAGGUCAAGGCUUCGCCCAUCCAAGCAAGCCCGACCUGCCAAGCUCUGUCGCGGCCAAUGAGCUUGGGGCUCGGCCGAUCCAAGUGAGCCCGAGCUUCGUCACGGCCGGCGAUCUCGCGGCUCCCCAAAUCCAGGCAAGCCUAAGCUCGGCCAUGGCUAGUGAGCUCGUGGCUCAGCCAAUCUAGGCGAGCUUGAGCUCCAUCAAGGCCGAUGAGCUCAUGGCUCGCCAGAUCCAGGCAAGCCCGAGCUCGGCCAUGGCCAGCGAGCUCGCGACUUGCCUAAGGCCGACGAACUUGGGAUCGACAACAACGAUGGCGGCGUGACGACGGGGUAGGCAGUGGCUGCAAUCAGUCCACUCAUCCAAAGAUUUGCAGUCAUGGAAGGAAGAGAGAAUUGAGGCAGAGCCUCUGCCAUAGAGGAGGAAGGCAUGGGUUCAAAGUGGGUUUGCUAAUAACCCAUUCAGACCCAUUUAUUUUCUUGCUUUACUUUCUAAGACCCAUUUGUGACCCAUAUUUAAUUUUCACUUGACCCAUAUAUGACCUAUUUAACUAUAAAUUGGUCGUGAUAUGGGUUUAUGACCCAUUUUGCUAGCUCUAUUCAAAGUACAAUAAAUGUAACAGUACCUAUAGAGUCGCUCAAAUCCAUAGCAACCGAUAGUUAUUGAAGUUUUAAGGCGGUUGAAGUAGAUGACCUAGGGAGUAGUUGCCGAUAUUUAGUUAAAUGCUCUCGCUGCAACACGACAGUUUCGAGUUUAGAGAUACGAAUAAUGAAGAUUGAUGGAAGGUUGUGAGUUUGGAGAAAAAGGAGUUACAUCUAGAAAGCCCAAAGCACCUCAACAGUACAAAAAUUCUAUAAAUACCCCACUUUAUGUAUAUCAUAAAUUGUGUAAAUUGUCAUGGUGCAAUUUUGUUGGGGACAACAAAUGUUAGGGUAUGUUUCAGAGGAAGCAAUAUUGGUAGUGUGGCAAUAACUAGCUUCGCCAACUAGGACAUAGGAAAACCUAAAGGAUAGUCGAAAUCUGUGUAGUUGUGCCUUGGCUUCUAUUAUAUGUGCUGUAAGUUAGAAAACGUCUUAGAGAGACAUGCUGAUUUCAUCAAUGACUAUGGCCAUGACAAUAGAAGGAGCUAAAGAGGCAACUUGGUCUAAUGACUUGAUUGGCGAUUGAAUUUGGACAUGGGGUUAUUUUGGUGUUCAUGUCAGGAGAGUAUUUGACCUCGAAAAGCACCUUGCCAUAUAGAUUUUUGCGGACAAGUGAAUUGAGUUCAAUCCUUUGGAGUAGUUCGAGCCAAACUUAGUUUUGAAGAACAUCUGCAAUGGUUAAGCACCUGUCGAGAAAUUGAAAGGGCCGACAUGGAUGACGAGCACCAAGAUUUCGCCUUGAACAUUGUGCCAAGCUAAAAAUUGUUAAAUUUGCGGCUCAAAUGUUAAAAUAUGUAAUAUAUUUUAUUAUUCUAAAUAUGAUUACAAUAUUAUAUUCCCAAUAAAUACCCAAUCAAUUCCCUAUAUAAAUUCCAAUUAUUGCCCAAUUUUAUUACCCACGUGUAUUAAGUGAUAUUUGUCCGUUAUUACAUUGCCAUAAUGGUCUUGAUGGGAGAUACCGGUAACGUAACCAACGGAAUAAAAACGUCAGGUUGUCUGGUUCAAACCCUUACGAUACAGAAAAACACACCAUCAGGUUUUGUGAAGGGGAUUGACUAGUAGAACAGGACAUGCGUUUUCUAUAUUGCAGAUCUCUCGUGCUGUGUGGAUCCAUCAAAGAUUUUGAGGUUUCCCACUUCUAGAUUUCAUCAAUGGCUGGAGGUAAGUUGAUAUUUAUGUUUCCGCUAUUCGAUCCCAAAUUUUGUAUGAAUUUACCUGUUAUGGACAAAUCGGGAUCUCCAAGUUUUGUUUAUAUGCAAUCUCUAACAGUUGGUAUCAGAGCCCUUAUUUGCAAUCUCUGCCUUGCUGAAACCUUUUGGAAUUUAUUUUAUUGAAUUAUAUGUGGAUAAAUUUCGGAUUUGUAUAUGGCUUGGAUUGGAAUUGAGAAUUCCGACCAAAUUCGGGCCACCCACCAUGCGAUAAUAGAUCUGAACGAUCACACCGCCAUUAGGAAGAGAAACCCCUAAAUUUUUCGACAUAUUACUGAUCGUCGAAGGUUAAUCGAGUGGUGAAAUUUUGGUGGUUAGGGUUUUAUAGGGCAGAUUGUUUUUUGGCUUAAUUCUGGUCCAUACAUGGUCGUUUUUUUGCCGGAUCUUGAAUCUAUUCGUUUGUCCCAGCGUUCUCUUCGAAACCCAUCAACCAAUUUGGUCAGACAUGGGCUGUGGGAGGAGACCCAGACGGUGGAACAGAGGCGGUUGCGGCUGAAGAAGCGGCGAAGGAGAGCCCGAAAGAAGACCUCUAGCGCGUGCGUCGCACGCACCCGAGGGGCUGCAGCGGGCGCGUGUGACGCACGCGCCCGGGGGCUGAAGCGAGCGCAUGCGUUGCACGCGUGCCUAUGGUUUCUCAAUUUUGCCCCUCCGCCUUUAUGAAAAUUGCGAUUCUGCCCUUGCCUACAAAAUUCUCAAUUUUGCCCCUCCACCUUUAUGAAAAUUGCGAUUCUGCCCUUGCCCACGCAAAAUUCCAAUUUUGCCCCACUAGGGUGUGUAAACUUACAAUUUUGCCCUUUGGGCGUGAAAUUCAUGUUUUACCCCUUAAAAGUAAAAUUCCAAUUCUAGCCUUGCGUGCAAAAUUCCAGUUUUACUCCUUUUGCACGUGAUUUUACUGUUCUACCCUAAAGUGCAAUUCUAUGAAUAAAAUUAAAUGUCUAGUGAUCCGUGUAUAUUUAAUUAAUUAAGGAUUAGCCACAGCAUCUUUGAUUAUAUUAAAUUAUAUACAUUAAGAGCCUUUGGAUCACAUAUAGUUCAAGACAAUAAUUGUAAUUAUUCACAUUAAUAUUAUGAAUUUUAUCCCACAGGAAUUUUCAAUAUAUUAAUGUGAUUAAUUAGGAUGAAAUAUUAUUUUAUCUUUCUUAAUUUACCCACAGGGAUUAAGGACGGGAAUAUAAUUUGAUAGUUUCAUCAUGAAGUAAUUAUAAAUCAAUUUAAAUUAGAAACUUAACCCACAUGUAGUUUUUGAUGUUAUGUGAUUCAUAUUUUAAAACAUAUUUUACAUUGGUAAAAUAUGAUUUAAGUUUAUUUGCCUCAAAUAUAUUGAUACAUAAGUUUCCUUUGAUUAUAAUGCAGUUUUACCACCUACGAUUAGUUCUGGUAUAAUUGUUCCGGAGCUUACGGGCAAUAACUUCAAAGAAUGGAGAGAAUUAGUUCUUCUCCAAUUGGGGUGCAUGGAUCUUGAUUAUGCUCUUAGGUUAGAUGAACCACCUGAACCUACUGAGAGUAGUACUCAUGCUGAGCAUACUCAUUAUGCUCAAUGGGAGUGGUCCAACCGUCUCAGUGUGAUGUACAUAAAGACAAAACUCUCUACUAGCAUUCGUGGUUCGGUCAUUCAGCAUAACAAUGCCAAGGAAUUGCUGAAGGCCAUUGAUGCACAAUUUGAGUCUUCAGACAAGGCGCAUGCCAUGACCCUAAUUAUGAAGUUCUCAUCAUUGAAGCUUACCAGUGUAAGAGGUGUGCGCGAGCACAUCAUGAAGAUGAGGGACAUUGCAGCUCAGCUGAAGAAUCUUGAGGUUGGGAUAUCAGAAUCCUUUCUUGUAUACUAUAUCCUAAAUACUCUCCCACAAGAGUAUGCUCCCUUCAAGAUCUCUUACAACACACAUAACACUAAAUGGUCAAUUAAUGAACUCAUGACCAUGUGUGUUCAAGAGGAAGAGAGGCUACUAAUGGAGAAAGGAGAAAGUGCUCAUAUGGCAACACGGGAUAAGUAUAAAGGGCAAGGCAAGCAAAGGGGGAAGGGUAAGAUGCCUCUACCUCCCCAAGCUGGCAUUAAGAAGGAAUCCAAGUGCUUUUUCUGUAGAAAGAAGGGGCACAUGAAGAAGGAUUGCGCCAAAUUUAAGGCGUGGCUCCAAAAGAAAGGUAAUCAACUUACAUGUGUAUGUUAUGAAACUAAUAUGGUUGAUGUGAGUCACAACACUUGGUGGAUUGAUUCUGGUUCUACAAUCCACAUUUCGAAUUCCUUGCAGGGUUUUCAGAACCAGCGGAAACCAGUGGGAAGUGAACAAGGCAUCUAUUCAGGAAACAAGAUGCGUUCGCGUAUGGAAGCUAUUGGGACAUGCAGAUUAGUUCUCAGUAGUGGUUUUGUUUUAAUUUUGGAAAAUACCUUUUAUAUUCCUAGUUUUUCUAGGAAUUUAAUUUCAAUUUCAAGACUUGUACCUUUGGGAUACUCCUUUGAAUUUUCAGAUUUAAUAUUCAAUUUAUCGUAUAAAUCUGAAAUUGUUGGGAGUGGUAUUUUGUUUGACGGUCUCUUUCGAAUUAAUUUACAAGACAAUACCGUUAAUAAUGCGAUGCACGUUCAUGAUAAUGCUGGGAUAAAACGAUGUGUUGUGAAUGAGAAUUCCUCUAUGUUGUGGCACCGGAGGUUGGGACAUAUCUCCAUGGAUAGAAUUAAGAGACUAGUAAAUGAUGGAGUACUUAAUACUCUAGAUUUUACUGAUUAUGACACUUGUGUGGACUGUAUAAAGGGAAAACAGACCAACAAGUCAAAGAAAGGUGCUAAGAGGAGUACAGAAAUAUUAGAAAUCAUAUAUACAGAUAUUUGUAGUCUAGAUAUGGACUCAAACGGUCAGAGAUACUUCAUUUCUUUCAUAGACGAUUAUUCACGAUUCAUGUAUCUUUACUUGCUUCGUAAUAAGCACGAAGCACUGGAUGCCUUUAAGGUAUUUAAAACCAAAGUCGAGAAACAAUGCGACAAGCAAAUUAAGAUUGUGAGAUCGGAUAAAGGUGGAGAAUACUAUGGUAGAUACACUGAAGAUGGACAAGCACCUGGUCCAUUUGCGAAGUUUCUUGAAGAGCAUGGGAUUAUUGCCCAAUACACUAUGCCUGGUUCACCGGACCAAAAUGGUGUCGCAGAAAGAAGAAACCAAAUAUUAUUGGACAUGGUGCGGAGUAUGCUUAGCAACUCCAAACUUCCUAAGUUUUUUGUGGAAUGAGGCUCUUAAAACGGCUAUGUACAUAUUAAACCGAGUUCCAACCAAGGUUGUUCCUAGGACGCCUUUUGAAUUAUUCAAAGAUUGGAAACCGAGUUUGCGACAUGUACGUGUUUGGGGAUGCCCAUCUGAGGUAAGAGUCUACAAUCCACAGGACAAGAAGUUAGAUCCAAGGACUAUAAGUGGGUAUUUCGUUGGAUAUGCCGAAAAGUCUAAAGGAUACAGAUUUUAUUGUCCAUCUCACACCACUAGGUUUGUGGAAUCAAGAAAUGCUAAAUUUCUUGAAAAUGAUCUUAUUAGUGGGAGCGAUCAAUUCAAGGACUUUGUCCCCGAAGAAGGUCAUUCAGAUACUCAACCUUCCACCUCAGAUACUGGAUUGGUUGUUGCUUACAGCGCCCCUUCAGUUCAACCGGUCGCUGAGCAACCAAUCAUUGAAGAUCCACGACCAGCUGAUAUUGAUCCAGUAGACCAAACUGUUCAGCAAUUACUAGAUACUGUUGAACUUCCAGUAGAACAGCAUACUCCUCAGAAGAAUGUUGAUGCGACAUUAAGAAGGUCUACUAAAAUGAAGAAAUCAGCGAUUCCUAAUGACUACAUUAUGUAUCUACAAGAAUCUAACUAUAAUGUUGGAGCUGAAAGUGAUCCUGAGUCGUUUUCACAAGCCAUGAGUUGUGAUAAAUCUAAUUUAUGGUACAAUGCCAUGAAGAAAGAGAUGAAUUCUAUGUCAUCAAACGAAGUCUGGGAUUUAGUUGAGUUGCCUGAUGGUGCAAGGCCAUUGGUUGUAAUGGGUCUUCAAAACUAAGAAGGAUUUAUCAGGCAAUAUAGAGAGAUAUAAAGCUAGACUCGUUGCCAAGGGAUUUACUCAAAGGGAGGGAAUCGAUUACACGGAGACGUUUUCUCCUGUAUCUAAGAAAGAUUCUCUUCGUACUAUUUUGGCAUUGGUUGCUCAUUUUGAUAUGGAGUUACAUCAAAUGGAUGUGAAAACGGUGUUCCCCAAUGGAAAAUUAGAAGAAGUGGUUUACAUGAAACAACCAGAAGGAUUCUUCUCUAAUGCUGGUGAGCAUUUGGUAUGCAAGCUUAAAAGGUCUCUAUAUGGCUUGAAACAAGCAUCCCGCCAAUGGUACUUAAGAUUCCAUGAGAUCAUCUCUUCAUUCGGUUUUAAAGAGAAUAUCAUGGAUCAAUGUAUAUACCAGAAGGUCAGUGGGAGCAAAAUUUGUUUCCUUGUGCUUAUGUAGAUGAUAUUUUACUUGCAACCAAUGACAAUGAGUUGUUAUAUGAAGUGAAACAAUUUCUCUCUAAGAGUUUUGAUAUGAAAGAUAUGGGUGAAGCAUCUUAUGUCAUUGGCAUUAAGAUCCAUAGAGAUAGACCUCGAGGUAUAUUAGGACUAUCUCAAGAAACCUAUAUCAAUAAGGUCUUGGAGAGGUUUCGGAUGAAAGAUUGUUCACCAAGUAUAGCACCCAUAGUGAAGGGUGAUAGGUUUAAUUUAAACCAAUGCCCGAAAAAUGAUUUUGAAAGGGAACAAAUGAAGAACAUCCCAUAUGCUUCUGCUGUUGGAAGCUUGAUGUAUGCUCAAGUUUGCACUCGACCUGAUAUAGCCUUUGCCGUGGGAAUGUUGGGAAGAUACCAAAGUAAUCUAGGUAUGGACCACUAGAGAGCUGCAAAGAAGGUGAUGAGGUAUCUUCAAGGAACAAAGGGACACAUGCUUAUGUACAGACGGACGGACAACUUGGAGGUAGUUGCUUACUCGGACUCAGACUUUGCUGGCUGCAUUGAUUCCCGUAAAUCAACAUCGGGAUAUAUUUUUAUGUUCGCUGGCGGAGCUGUAUCCUGGAGGAGUGCAAAACAAACCUUGGUUGCCACUUCCACUAUAGAGGCAGAGUUCGUUUCCUGUUUUGAGGCCACCUCACAUGGUAUGUGGUUGAAAGGUUUCAUAUCGGGGCUUAAAAUUAUGGAUUUCAUUGCUAGGCCAUUAAGAAUAUUUUGCGACAAUUCAACUGCAGUUUUUAUGGCUAAGAACCACAAAAGUGGUAGUCGAAGCAAGCACAUCGACAUCAAGUAUUUAGCCAUCAGAGAACGUGUUAAAGAGAAGAAAGUGGUCAUAGAACACAUAAGCACUAGAUUGAUGAUAGCUGAUUCUUUAACUAAAGGCAUGCCGCCAAUGAGUUAUAAGGAUCAUGUUUCUAGAAUGGGCAUUGGUCCAAUCAUGUAAAUUUUUCUUUAUAUGGAAGAAUUUAUGAGACUUUUAUUCAUUUAUAAUGUUUUUCUCAAUACAGUUGUAUGCAUUCAGUUAUUAUGAGAAAAAUAAUUACGUUUGACCUGGAGUAAACAUAAGGUUUAUUCAUUAAGUUAUUUGAUCACAUAUGGGCUGAUGAAAUACAUUGUGAUACACGGGAGAUAAUACUCGCUCUAAGAGGACUCAUCACCGUUAUUCAUGUGUUUUAUUUCAGUAUGAAGUUUUGUGGGUUUGGUUUAAUAAUUCAUUUGAAGGAAUAUUGGGAUCAAGUGGGAGAAUGUUAAAAUAUGUAAUAUAUUUUAUUAUUCUAAAUAUGAUUCCAAUAUUAUAUUCCCAAUAAAUACCCAAUCAAUUCCCUAUAUAAAUUCCAAUUAUUGCCCAAUUUUAUUACCCACGUGUAUUAAGUGAUAUUUGUCCGUUAUUACAUUGCCAUAAUGGUCUUGAUGGGAGAUACCGGUAACGUAACCAACGGAAUAAAAAUGUCAGGUCAUCUGGUUCAAACUCUUUAGAUACAGAAAAACACACAAUCAGGUUUUGUGAAGGGGAUUGACUAGUAGAACAAGACGUGCGUUUUAUAUAUCGCAGAUCUCUCGUGCUGUGUGGAUCCAUCAAAGAUUUUGAGGUUUCCCACUUCUAGAUUUCAUCAAUGGCUGGAGGUAAGUUGAUAUUUAUGUUUCCGCUAUUCGAUCCCGAAUUUUGUAUGAAUUUACCUGUUAUGGACAAAUCGGGAUCUCCAAGUUUUGUUUAUAUGCAAUCUCUAACAUCAAAUUCUAGUCAAAUUUGGAGUUGGGAUCGAGUCUAGAGAUCGACAAGUCCGGGAUGUAUUUGGACCAAUGGCCAAGGCUUCCAAUCGGGGGCUUCCUAAUAGCUUGUUGCUACUACGCUCAAGGUGGGCACCUGGCUAGAGGCCCACUUAAACCUCUUGGCUAUCCGAUUUUGUUUAGCCUUUUUUUUUUUUUUACCAAUGUUUACCCUAUUCUGAUAACACACAUUUUUGUGAAUUUCUGGAAUAGACUUUUUUUUUUUUUUGGUUAGAAAUCGUAAGAUAACACUGUGUGACCUUGGGUAGGGAAACAUCUGAGUGAUUGUAACAAUGUAAUCUCCAUUCAUAAUGGAUCUGUUUGCUACCGACUCUUUCCAAAGAGUAGGUACUAAUACUUGAGUUGAAUGACAUAAAUUUCUAGUGUCUCGUGUCAAUUCUCGUUGAUUUUCAUAAUAAUUUUUUUCUCAUAUUAAAUUUGACUUGAGGAAUCCGUUAGCUUACAAUGCAUCCAAUUCCAUUUUGCAUUGCACACAUGCUAUGCGUUUGUUAAUAGAGAGAGAGAGAGAGAGAGAGAGAGAGAGAGAGAGAGAGUAAAACUCAAUAGGAUAUAUAAGAUUUCGAUCUCUCAUACCCUAGUGAUGAAGAGUGCUUUCAACAUCAAAUCAUCCAAUAAAAUAAAAUGAAAUUAGUCUUUGAUUGGCAUUUGUUAUUGGCAUUUGUUAUUAGAUAAAUAAUUAUAAAUAGAAAAAAGCAUACUUUGCGAAGAAAAUUGCUACUUGAGUCUUAAACUUAUUAUGCAAAUUUAAUUCAAUUUUAAACAUUUCAAUUAAUUCGAUAUAGUCCUAAACCCUUGUGUGAAAUUCUAAUAUAAUCGUUCCAACUAUUUCUCACAUGAAAUUAUUGACGCGACAAUCACCAAUUAUCCCCUCCUGCUAUCUAACGCAAAUAAUAGGCUUUCUCUAUCUCAAGAUAAACCAAUUAUCCCAUAUGCUACUGAUGAACACCACGGGAAGACUAUAUGAUAGUCGAAAAAAUUCAAUGCAUUGCACGCCCUCCCCAACGUCAACGGCAGAAUAUCUUAACAAGCAAAAAGAGCACAAGUAGUAGCCAAAAACAAUAUUUCAAGCACCACACGAUGUUGUCUGCAAAACAUCAAACGAAAUCAAAAACUAACCCACAUUUAGAUGAGUUUGUUAAACCAAACGAGCAAAAACUCAAUGCAUUGAACACACUCUCCAACGUCAACAACAACAUAUCUUAAAAAUCAAAACAAGCAUAAGUAGUAGUUAAAAAGAAAAAAAAAAGAUUCUGGACACCACCCGAUGUUGUCCACAAAACAUCAAAAGAAAUUGAAAAUUAACCCACAUAUAGACGAGUUGGUUAAACCAAACAAGCAAAAACUCAAUGCACUGAACAUACUCCCCAACAUCAACAACAACAUAUCUUUACCAGCAAAACAAGCAUAAAUAGUAGCCAAAAACGAAAGACAAAAAAUCUGGGCAUUAUACAACGUUGUCUACAAAACAUCAAAUGAAAUCAAGAAAUAACCCACAUUUAGACGAGUUGAUUAAACCAAACGAGCAUAAGAAAGAGCACAAAUAGAGAGAACUUACAAUUUCUAGCCAUCGUCAACCUCAAGCUUCUUUUGGCAGCCAGUGGUAGGGUUGGCGAUUUAGAAUUGCAAAAGCACACAAGCAAGAGAAACCACAAACGAUUGAGUAAAACUCUCAGGUAUUCUUUGAUUAGAGAGUGUGACCAUAGAGAAAAAUUAAACAUGCGUUCUAGUUCAGAGGCGAAGGCACAGAGGUGGAGGGAGGUGAGGUGAAGGAGUGACCAUUGCUGAGGGAAGGAGGGACGAUUGAUUUGGGGCAAACGAAACGAGGCAUUUUAGGAGCAAAAAAGUCUUCUUCUUCUUCAUUUUUUUAUUAAAAGCAAAAUGACAUAGUUUCACACUUCGGCGUCCAUGUCAACUCGGUAGUCGCGGCUGCACUGACUUGGAGUUCACAUCAGCCUUUUCCAGUAAAGAAUGACCGGAUGAACUAAAUCGGUACCAAAUGCAAAAAUUUUAGGACUAAAUUGAUAUAAAUGCAAAAGGUUUAUGACUUUUUUGUUACUUUUCCCCUCAAAAAGAAAAAGAGAGGUGCCAAAGGCAAAGGCGGAGACAUAGACAAUGAUGGCAAUGGUGGCCAUCAUGGAGGUCACUAUGGAGGCCAUCAGGGAGGCCACCACCACGUCCACCACCACGUAGCCCACCACAAAGGUCACCAUGGAGGCGGAGGUGGCGACAGCAGCGCCGGCUGCAUUUGUGGUGGAAGUGGGGGUGGCAGUGGAGGUUGCGGCGGGGCGGGGUGGUGGCACCUGCUAAUAUGAAGUCAAUCUUUUUUUCCCUUUUUCUAUGUUGGUAUUGGUAAUGGUACUAUGAUUUGCUAGCUAAAUAAGUAGUUAAUGGAUAGAAAGAGUCAUUGAGCAAGGAUCGCAAAGACUAGCUUGCAAAGCAUAUGCUCCAAUCAACACAUGGCAUCAAAAACUAGUUCUUGUAGAGAGGCAAACUAGCACCAAUGAAUUAUGAACGCACUUGAAUUAUUUCCAAAUUUGUACUCUCAACCUUAGUGGUAUAUUCUACUAAUUAAUUUGAAAGACCCACUUGUAAAAUUUUCAAGGCACUUGGUAAUCUACUACUAGCUACUAGAGUAGUGAAAUUGAUUAUUUCAUCGAUAAGUUACAAAAAACUUACUUCGCCUACUGGUAAAAUAGUAAAGCACUCGAUGAUCUACUUCAAAUACUAGAUGUGAGAAUGGUAACAUGGAUUUUUCAUUAUUAAAUUACUAACUAAUCAACGAGGCCUAGUCCUACUCGAUGUGUGGUGAUAAAAUCAAACUACUUGAUAGGCUUAAUUAUAAAAUUUUAUAGCACAAAGUAGGAUACUACUGGAUACUAAAUUUUAGGAUGGUAAAAUUGUUAUUUGAUCAAUACAUUACAAAUUAAAUGAUGGGGUCCACUUAAGGAUGGUAAAAAACAUUAUAUUGUGGGUUAAUACCACAAAAAAUCCCAAACUUGUACAUUUGUGACAAAUUUACCUCAAAUUAAUUUGUUUACUAUAAAAAAAAAAAACCCCAAAUUGGUAUCAUUGUGAUAAAUUUACCUUUCUUAGUUUUUGUUAAAUUUUACUAUUAAAUUGCUAAGUUGGAUAAUGCUUGAUCGGUGUACCAGUUUGAAAUUUUACCCUUCAUUCGUCACAGCUGUGUUAGUUUUGUGGUUAUUCGUGGUAUUAAUAUAAUUAAACAAAUAGUACAUUUAUCACAAAUAUACCAGUUCAGGGUUUUUGAACACAAAAAAAAAAAAAAAUUAUUUUUGAGUAAAUUUAUUGCAAGUAUUCUAGUUUAAGGUUUUUUGUAGUUAUCUGAGGUAACUUUAUCACAAAUUCACCAAUUUGAGAUUUUUCUUGAUUAAAAAAAUAGUUUGGGCUAAAUUUGUCACAAGUGUACUAAUUUGGGGGUUUUUUGUGAUAUUAACAUUUAUAUUGUUGGUAAUUUACUAACUAAUUGACAAGCCAAAUUGGCAAAUAUCAACUAUUGGAUACCAUUGACCCAAAAAAAGAAGAAGCCAUAAUUGGACACUAGAUGUGAGAAUAAAAUUUUUAUUAUUUUAUUAAUAAGUUACUGAUAGUUGACCGGGCAAUAAAGUUGCCAAGCAAUUUUACUUACCAGUUACAUUGCCGGUUCUUGAAAUUUACCAUCAUGAACCAGUUCUCUUUCUAACAAAUGCAAUAGUAAAGUCAUCUUUAUAUCUCACACAUUUUUGUGAGUUUGUUGAGUGACUUAUCACACUUAUAGAUUUACUUUGAGUAUGAUCUAGGAUAGGGAAAUAAAACCAAAGUGAUUGUAACUAUGUAAUCUCUAUUCAUAAUGGAUUUCUCUGUUGUUAACUUGUUAACUGUAUAUAAGGAAUAGGUAUCCACAUUUGGAUUGAACAACAUAGAUUUCUAGUCGUCUUUGUCAUUUCUCAUUAAUCUCCUUGAUAAAUUUGAAUUGCAAAAUCCGUUAGCUUCAACAAUUAUUUCACAACACAUCCAAAUCCAUUUUGAAUCGCACACAUGCUAUGCAUUUGAGAAAAAAAAAAUUACUAUAUAUAAAACUCAAUAGAAUAUAUAAGAUUUCAAUCUCUUAGACCCAAGCAAUGAAGACUGCUUUCAGCACCAAAUCAUCCAAUAAAAUAAAACGAAAGUAGUCUUUGGUUGGUAUUCGUUAUUAGCUAAAUUAUAAUAGAAAAAAGCAUACUUUGUGAAAAAAAAAAUAUUACUAUUUCAAUCUUAAAUUUAUUAUAUGGAUUUUUAUCCAGUUCUAAACAUCUAAAUUGAUCAAAUAUAAUCAAAAACUCUUAGGUGAAAUGCUAAUAUAGUCCUCCCGGUUAUUUCUCACUUGAAAUUACUAAUGUGAUAGGAUCUAGUUUGAAUAACUUUACCCGAAACAAUACCGUUUUGCUUAAUUUUCUUAGUUUUCCAAUUAUUAUCCUUCCUUUUUCUCUUUUUUUCUUUCCUUUUUCCUUUUAUGUCCACUAUUUAUUUAUUUUUUCAUAGUAAAGCGUGAACACUUACGACAAAAAGAUUUUGAGCAUGAUCAUCCAUAUCUGUAAGCCACAACUCAAAUGACGCCAAACAACUCUUCAACUGUCUCAACUGACGAAUUUCUAAAACUCUACGAGCCUACAAAAAGUGGGCUCACUUGAAUUUUUUUCGGCUUCUACAAUUGAAACCCCUUAAAAUUCAAUCAGCUUCCCGAUGAUUUUAUUUACACUAAAGCAUGAAUAAUUGCCUAGAAAAGAAGAAGCAGUAGAAGCGACUUCAAUCUCCAUGGCCUUCAAUGGCCACCGAGCUCGAAGCGGCUAUGUUUCAGUUGCUGCAAGCUAACCAUCGAGCUCGACAGCCAUGAGCUCAAUGAGCAACAGCGACAGCUUGCGGAGUUCAGCAACAAUGGCUUUUGCAGAUUUAAUCAUGAAAUCAACGAAGAAGGAUGUGCCGGAUCUGGCUAAAGGAGGAGGUGAAAAAAAAAUAAGAAUAAAAAUAAAAGUUCUACAAAAGAGCAUCGUUUCGAGAAUAUUUGUCCACAUCAGAUCACGGACGCACCACUUAAAAUAGCAUGUGAUGACUGGAUUGCCACAUCAUCAAUUUCAAGCGAGUUUUGUCGGGAGGACUUGGUUGGAGUUUCACUCAGAAGUUUUGAACAACGUUGAAGCAAUUACAAGGUGUGCCAUAAAUCUCUGACAGGAAUAACAAUUUCUUGGUAGCUACUAUAUUGCCCAGAAAGUUCCCAAGAUACAACGGCUCUCUUAAGUCAUAGACCAGCUGACUUAAGAUUAAGAAAGCCGUACCUUUUGACCAAAAACGGAAUUAAGCGAUAAAUCGGCCAAAAUACAAAACGUCCCACGUCAAACAUGGAGUGUCGAAUCAUCUCACCGGUAGUCUUGAUUGACCCGCAACUUCCCUUGUUCACCGUUUUGGACCAACUAGGGGCAUGUGCACGACUGUCACGCCCCAAUUCUCGGGUAUACACCCAUCCCUCACCCGGUCAAUAUAAUAGCGAUGUCUCAGGACGCAUCGCUGACCCAUUCAUUUUAAUACGCAUACGGAAGCAUAUAAAUAAUCCCCAAACAAUAAAAUAAUGAGAUAGGAAAGUGAGACUCUAAAUUUCCACUUUAAAAGCAACCACCCUUAUAUACAUUGCAAACUAUAGUGCAAAUAUAUAUAAAGCGAAUUGUUAAGUUGGGUUUUAAGCCACAAGUUCAUAAAACUAAGACUGCAAAAAUGAAUCGACUCCCAUCAAAAGAAAAGUGUCAUAUGACUAACUAGUCCAAUAGGAUCGUCAAUUCUUCAAGCUUCACCUUCUACACUCCGAGCCUCCGGUCCUUCACCACAAUCAUCUAAGGACCUGAAAAUGGUUAUUCUAUAACAAUGAGACUACAUCUUAGCAAAUUCUACCUCCUAAGACCCGAUUAGGAAGUCAAUACACUCAAGAAGCUGCCUAAACACAACACAAGUCAGAGGACUUACCUUAACCUCAGUUUCAUCUUGCAAAUCAACGUUAUUUACAAAUACCUUAUAUCACAUCACUCAAUCAAUUCAUAACAUCAGAUCAAAUCAUUGAGCAACCGACCUAGUCAAUUACAUGUCAUCUCGACUCUUUCUUAGUCGGCUCAUCUCAUUUACUCAAAGUCACUACUGAAUUACAACUCAGCAAGCACGGCCUACACAGUCAUCUCAAGCGAAUUGUUAAGUCGGGUUUUAAAUCACAAGUUCAUAAAACUAGGACUACACAGUCCAAUAGGAUCGUCAAUUCUUCAAGCUUCACAUUCUACACUCCAAGCCUCCAAUCCUUCACCACAAUCAUCUAAGGACCUGAAAAUGGUUAUUCUAUAACCAGUGAGACUACAUCUCAGCAAGUUCUAUCCCCUAAGACCCGAUUAGGAAGUCAAUACACUCAAGAAGCUACCUAAGCACAACAUGAGUUAGAGGACUUACCUUAACCUCAGUUUCAUCCUGCAAAUCAACGUUAUUUACAGAUACCUUAUAUCACAUCAUUCAAUCAAUUCAUAACAUCAGAUCAAAUCAUUGAUCAACCGACCUAGUCAAUUACAUGUCAUCUCGACUCUUUCUUGGUCGACUCAUCUCAUUUACUCAAAAUCACUACUGAAUUACAACUCAGCGAGCAUGGCCUACACAGUCAUCUCAAAUACUCAACUCCAAUGCCAAAUUACGGCUCAGCGAGCAUGGCCUACUAAAACUUUGGUGGUAAUGUUGAAUUAUGGUUCAGUGGGCACAUCUUACUAAUUCUUCGACGGUUAAUGCUGAAUUAUGGCUCAACGAGCACAACCGAUUCCAAGUUCGGUGGUGGUGCUAAAUUAUGGCUUAGCGAGCACGGCCUAGAUUAGGUGGUAACCUACGGAGCACUGGACAUAACCAUACUUUGGUGGUAAUGUUAAAUUACGGUUCAACAAGCACAAUCAAUUCUAAAUUCAGUGGUUUUCAUGCCCUAUUCCACACUGUCACACAUCCAUCAUACAUCAUUUCAUCUUUCAAUAGUCUUCUCAAUGCAACUAAUAACCCUCACACGAUUAAUUACUCUCAACCAAGGACUGUGUGCUUCACACUUAGAACCUUCAAUCAAAAUAAUAAUUGCCCUAUUUCCCUCGUAUUAACGAUACCCGAUAAAAAUUUAUCAUGUGGGUACACGAUCAGGCUUAGCUAAAAUAUCACAAUUUCACUUCCACAAUUUCCACAAUUUUAUAUCGUCCACCAAAAUAUUUUUGGCGUUGUAAACCGACGCUCGGUUAAUUUCUAAUCAAUUACCAAAAUUGAUUAAUUUAGGAAUAAAAUCCUAAAAAAAAAAAGUUAAGUAAAUUCAGCACAAAUCAAUGCUCAAAUAAAUAAACAUAUUGCACCACAAUGAUCAGCAUAAAAUUUCGGUCGUCGGCUAUCUCUGCCUAAUUCCGGAAAAUAAUUAAUUAAUUAAAUAAUUUCGAAAAUUAUUAAAUAAAUACAAUAAAUCCAAUUUAGGCCUGAAAUGCCUAAUUGGAAGCCGAAAUGAGCCUGGAAAAUUACUGAGACACGUUCAAUAAAUAAUAGAGCAUGUCUACUUGCUAACUAAGCUAACCAUUUUCCUAACAUGCAUAGGUAAAUCCCUAAUUUAAUUAUUCUAAUUUAAUCUAUCAACCUAAUUGCACUUAAUUAAAAAUAAUCAACCAUGAAGUAUCACUAGCAUACUAAUAAGGGAUUAGUGAGCAAAACUCACUUGUGCAAAGCGAGGACCGGAACAGCGUCGGCAGCCAAAUUCCGAAUUUUCGGCGGUGUUGACGGACACUUGGGCCAGACCAAGAAACCUUGCAAGCCCACAGAAAUUCCUUGGCUUAGACUUGGGCUUGGGCCUGCUGAAAAUGGACUAGCUUCAAGUGGACUGAAGUUGGUUGAAGCGGGCUUGAAAAAAGGCGUGGGCUUGUUGGACUGAAAUGCAACUGAACUGGGCUGAGCUUGAUGGAGAUGCUGGGCCAAAACCUGAGCUGGAUGGGCUGAAGCUUGCUGAGGACUUGGGCCGAUCGAAGGAGAAGUUGCUGGGCUGAAGAGGACCGAACAAAUUGUGAGAUGGGCUGGUCAAAGAGCUGGCUUUGUUGGCGUCGAUGCAAGGAAGGAGCUGCGGCGUCUUCGAUGGUCAUCAACCGGUGAGGAGAGCUCCUUUGAUUGACCGACGCAGGUGGAGGCGUGGACGUGCAGAGGCUGCUGAUGGGCUGGGCUUCACGCGAGCUGAAGACGAGAGGCGACGCGGGCAGCUUCGGUGGGUUUCGCUGGCGUGCGCUGGCCGCGUGGAGCUGAGGGCGGUCAACAGUUGGGCUUUCGGUGGGACAGCAAGUGGUGGACGCUGGAUUUCGAUGGAGUGAGAAGCGGACGAAGGGCAGCUUCGCGUGGGGACAGGCGGUCAACAAACGGCUUCGGACGUGGGGUGUUUAAAAACGUCGACCAAAGCUGCAGAGAGAGAGGGAUGCUUCGGUGGACUCUGUUGGAUUGUUGGCUUCGUGGAGAGGCCGCGUGGAGGAGGAGCGGUCAACAAAUGAUUCGGUGAGUGUCGAUGUUGACCAAAGAUGGUGGGGAAUUGGCAAGUGGCAGAGAGAGGAAAGCAGGGGAAAAAUAAAAGCUUCGGUGGAAGAAGACCAACGAAGAUGGGGCGGCUUCAGAGGGCAGUCAAGCAUCCAAGGAGACCAAAAUAAAAUAAAAGUAAAACAAGAGAAGAAUUGGGGAAGCGGACGCUCGAAGAGAAGAUGGAGACGGGCGGGCUAUGGUGUGCCCGUGAAGUUUAGAAGAAAAAGGCCAAAAGUCCACAAAAAUAUCUUAAUCAAUCAAAGCUUGGUCCCCCUUUGGUCUUCAAGCUUAUCACAUUGUCCCCUAUUACUUUCUUGCUUAGAAAUCCAUAAAUAAUCCAAUUUAAAUGUCAAAAAAUGCAGCCCAAAGUCUAAAUGCGAAUUUCACUCAAUUUUGGCUUCAAAUUCUUUUCCGAUUCUCCAAUUCGAGGUCCGAUGUUGUUGAAGAAAAUUCCCAUAUAAUUUUCUGUAAAUCCCUGAUACUUAAAGGUUCGGCUUAGAAGUCCAAAUUUCCUUUAAUUUGGCCCAUCCGAAUUUCCAUUAAUUUCCGCAACUUCCGAAUUGAUUUUCCUUAAAAAUCUUGGGAUCUCCGAAAAUUCUUUGGAUUAUGAAUUGACAUUUUUAAAAUAGAUUGUGACACCACAGAAGUUUCAAUUUCUGAAAUCAAAUACAAAUCCGCAGUUAAUUUCAAUCUGGCGUAUUUUUAGCGUCACCUAGGCUAUCAGGUAGCUUUCAGAAAUUUUUAGUGCAAAUGACCUGUGAUCAAUUUUCUUCGAGCCACAAUGUACUACUUCAACACAUUUGGCAACUCUCGGUAGUCGUAAAAAUCUCAAGAUUUCAAUUAUAAGCCUAGGGUACCCAAAAUAACAAAAAAUCGGUUUAGUGCCGAUCGACGAAAAUUUUGCAGUCAGGUGGAAUCACCCAGACUUUGAUCACACAUCUCAGUCGAAUCGACAUAUCCCUGAUCUCUGAUCAAUUUUGAUAAUGUCGUAAUGACCCUUGCAGACUAGCACAAUCGAGCAGUCAACUUCUAGUCGAAUUCUCAAGUCUAUUGUAUUAAAAUCUCUUAACAACUUCUCCAGAUGGUCUAGUUAUCUCACGAGUGAUCCGCUUUGAGAAUAGCACUAUAAAUGCGUUGAUAAAAUGCCCGAUUUAUUCAAUUAAAAAAAGUACUAAAAAUUCAGAAUGUCAUAACGACUCUUUUUUGAUAUUACGAUCACAAGCUCGACGUCACCACUUCGCCAAUUUAAGAAUGUCGAAGUUCAAUCAGAAGCAAUUUCGUAGAACCUUUGUCACCACUCCCAACAAGUCAUCCGAAGGGAAUUAUCUCCGAAGUUGUCCCCUCGACUUUUGUGGUCUAUCACCGUUAUUCCCAGUGCUUAAAUUGAAUGUUCCUCGUCACAGGAGUAGAGUUGAAUUCUUGCUUCUCUCCAUGAGAUGACGAGGAAAUUCAUGGCGACGGCUCACUCUGCUCUGGCUGCAAAAAGAAAAAUUCACUUGGAGGACAUUUUGGGAGUCGUGCCUUAAUUAAGCCAAUUGCGUAAGAGUGCUGCUAGGCUAACAGCCACCGUUAUUCUAAGAACAUUCCAAAUUCAAAGAAAGGGGCAACUGAACGGUCAAGUUUAGCCUUUUUUUGACGUGGCCAUUAAUUAUUUAGUGCUGCUAUAUCAGUGGUCACGGAGACCUAUUGACAGUGACCUACUUUUCUCAUCCCUAUAUAAUUGAAGGUCCCUCAUCUCAUGUAUAUUGUCUCCUUCCUACAACUAUUGAUACUGCGAAUGGUUGAGUUCUUGCUUCUCUUCACGACAUAAUGAGGCAAUCAACGGCGAGCAAUUGGAUCGAUUUAGCGAGCCCCGGUGUUCAUGGUGAUGAUGGAGCGGAUCUUCUGCUACUCAAGUCCGGAGUGAUCUUCAUGCUGUGCUUGAUCCUUGCGUCAGUUGUUAUAUUUUCCUGUGGCAAAAACAGCCACCCCCAUGGAGGCGGCGGCGGCGGCUGUGGUGGAGGCGGGGGUGGCGGUUGCGGCGGAGGAGGCGGGGGCGGGGGAGGGUGUUGAAUUGAACUUAUAUUUAUAUAUCUUUAAGGCAUGAGUUAAAAAAAAAAGAAAAAAAAAAGGCAGUUUCAUUUCAAUAAAUUGCAAUGCGAUAGUGUGGUAUGUUUCAUAUUAAGAUUGCUAUUUAGGGUUAAGUAUCUCGUAAUUUACAUAUGUUGUAUUUAAGAAUAAUUGUACUCUCCCCCUAUACUUGUGUUCUUCAUUUGAUAAUUUACGGAUAUUAUAGUCCUCUCUAUUUACAAUUCUCGACUUGAUGUCAGAGUCAUUUGUUGUUUGAGGAAAAACCCAUUGAAUCUGUUCACGGCCAGCCACACCGGCCACCGUUCCCCAUCAAGUCCUCACCUUUCAGUUGCGGUUCAACAUCCUUCCAUUGCUCAAUCCAAAAAACAGAGACCACCAACAGGCUCGUUGUCCUCAAACGGCCCAUAUCCUAAAAACUCGCUGCAAAUGCACACCAAAUGCCACCACAUGUCAGAUUGUGUAAUUUUUAUGGAUGAUCAUAUUAAAGUGGUGUCUUAUCAAGUCUAGCUCAAUGAAUUGUAGAUGUUAUUAUCCGAUAAUGAUAACCAAAAACUUGCAGGCAUUAUUAGGCACGUGUCAUGAGCUGAUUGGUUAAUUAAAACAUAUUCAUCACUUGUUUCCAC
rnacentral:lncRNA from 1 species